rnacentral:lncRNA from 1 species
GGAAAUGAGAGGGCUAUAAAAUGAGGGGAGGGAGCCCUAGGGAAGGCCACACUACUUGAUCUUAUCAGAGCGGAGGGUUGAUGGGCUGUAAGCGAGCGAGUCACCCACCCCUUCUAAAGGGGGCUGCCGGCGGCUCACUCUCCCUCCUUGCGUCCUUUUCCCUCUGCGAUGAAGACUGCCCGCCGCCUGAGCAUCAUUGACGGUGAUGGCUGCGCGGGCUCAACCCAACCCACACUACCAUUUCACUCUUUUAAUCUUUCUUCUUUUCUUUCUUUUUCCGAUCUUCCCAAUCUAAUUCUUCUUUCUUUGUUUCUGUUGUUUUCCGAUCUCUUCAAAUCUAACCCGAUUUCUGAACCGAUAAUUUUUUUCUUCUGCAAGUUCUUGUAUUGGGCGGAGACUAACGAUUGCCCUGUUUUAUCAAUUUUCUGAAUUUUCUUUUAGUGCUCAAGAGUUGCGUUUUUUUUUUUUCAAGAUUUUGUCUACAGUCUGGGAUCCUCUAAAUUUGUUCUUUGUUGUACCUGGCAGGAAAUGAACGACAUGUUGAGAAAAUGUUGGAUCGGAUCGGAGGAUGUCGUCAGAGAGAGCCCUGUCCAAUGUGAUUGGAAAAUGUGUACAGCCAAAAUUUUACAUGUAAAAUUAUAGUUUGAACUUUGAAGGUCCAUUGGGUGUUAUGAUAUGUUUGUUUAUUCCUGGAAUGUCUUGCCGAAUCGAUAGUAGCAAACACAUAACUAGGCUGAAAUUUUCUGAUUGUUGUCUGAUUGAUGCACAUGAAAAGAAAGGCCUCAAAAAUCAAAAUGUGAGAAUGGAAUCCAUGAAUCCAAUCACCAUCGCCAACAACAGUAGCCAGAACUUACAUUGAUCGGAAUUAAUAUUAAAAUUGGUAACUUAACUCUUAAAACUAGUAUACUUUUCCCAGAUGCUUAUAUCUCAAGAGGGCUAAAAGGAAACAGAAAAAAAUGAAAAAAAGAAAGAAAAAGAAAAAGACAGUUCAACACGCAUGUAAAAUCCUACAAAAUUCUAAUGUCACUCAGUGAAAACUACAAUCAAGUGAAUAACAUAAAUGAAACUAUUGGACUGAGGUAGAAGAUGAUGCCCCGUUCCCAUUCCUGCAGAAAACCUUUCUAUUGAAGAAAUCUUGACCCAUUUUCCCUUUAAACUUGAAAUGCUUUUUAAGAUGAUUCUUUAGCAAGGAGCCACUGCCCCCGUUUGGGCGAGGCACUGUCCAAAGCCACUUCCUUCUCACACUUUCUUUGUCAUUGUCAUUGCAUGAAGCUUCAUCAUUCCUGUGGUUUCCUUGGCCACCACUUAUCACAACCCCUCUGCUCCGCCUUACUGUUCUUAAAGCCAUCUGCAAGGGUUCCGACACAGCCGGGGAUUCCUCCAAUGUUCCAAUUGUUUUCAAGCACAUGGGGCAUGGAGGGUCAUGAAUCUGGGCCUUUGGGGUCAUUUGCUCCAAGCAUUCUGCAUGAAACACGUGGCUGCAGGGUAGUAUCCCAGCAAUUGGCAUGUCACUACCUCUCAUGAUUCGAUGUGAACUCCAUGGAGAUUUCUGCCAUAAAAGUUUUCCGCAAAUUCCACACCUUUGAUCUCCCACAGGACAGACAGGGGAUCUCUGGCUUUCUACAUCCAUGUGCUCCGCCAUGUCAAAGGUUUCUCCGUCAAACCCCAUGUCAAAACUACUGGCACUGCUCCACCUGAAACCCUCCCUUCUAGAGCUCGCACUGGGAUCAGGCGAUGUCUCCAACUUUUGAAGCUCUGUGAGGCUUCUAUGGAACUUGUGCUCAGUACUUGAAUUGCUGUCAGGCCAAUGAGAUGGUGGGAUCCGAUCAUCACUAGGUGUGAGCCUGCCAAGGCUAGGUCUCUCUGCAUCACCAAAGGCUUCACAGUCUGAAACAGGGUUGCGAAACACUAAUGGGUAAACAGGUUUUGACAUAAAGGAGCGCCGACCAGAGGAGUUGCGAUUGGGGAGAGAAAGAGACUGUUUUGUAGAUAAUUCCCACUGGCAAGACUCAGGAAGUGAGGAUGGGGACCCAAAACUGUGAGAUGUUGCAGAUGCUCUAGCAGUAUACCGUCUCUGCAAAACGAACAUCAAAAGAGAGAAGGCAUUCAAUAGCAGUUUUUUUUUUUUAGGUUAUAUUUGUCAAUAAAGUUGAAGCAAAUAGUCACCUCGUUGGAGUGGGGAAGCCAAAAGGCCUCGGACCUUGAUCCUGAUAAUGAUACAUUCAAAAAAUAAACAAAUGUAAUUAGAAUUUCACAAAGGUAAGGAACAAUUCAAACAAGGCCAGACAUACAACAGAUUCAGUGAAAGUAAAGCUGAAUAAACACAGAUGAGCACAGGUACUCUCCAACAGUUAUAUAGCUAGUGUUUCUAAAUUUGUUUUGACUCACCUCACAACAUGGCAACUAAGUGAAGUGAAAUCAUGGGUCAAAGAAACUAAAAGAAAUGUACAGUUGAGAAAUUCAAAACAGAUAUUAGUAAGGUAAGCUACAUAUAUACAGGGUAUUGCUUUUUUUCCUCACAUGCAACAACAGAGAAUGGGUGUGAACAAUUUUUAAGCAAAGAACAAAUUGAUGGAAGUAGUCCAUCGGGUAACGAUUACAUAGUUAAAACAAAAUUUAUAUAUAAAAAAAAAUCAGUUCAGUAUUAUGUCAAGAAAAUCAACUAUGGAAUCCAUUCUCUUACUAAGAGCAACUGCUGGAAAGUUUUAGAGAGGAAAAGAACCUUGACAUGGUGUUAACUGGCUCAAAGAAACAUAAAUAAAAUGACAUGGCUUCAAGAGAAGUAUCUAAAAAAAUGGACAUGAUCAAGGACUGUAAUUAACAUUAGACAAACUCGAGGAUCAACUGAAUUUUCAGUCACAGUAUGCCUAUAAAAAAGGGUUUAAAAUAAGCAUAUUAAAAACAUGGUACAAUGGCAAUUUGUGGCAAGGGAGUGGCCAAUGAUUGUUGGAACCAGCAAAGUAGAGCAAAAUGGCCAAACUAGAAUGACAGAGGAAGUCUAGGAAAAGUGUAAAAAGGAUCAGCGAACAACAGAGGUUAGAAACAAGGUCUAUACAACCAAUCUCACAGAAAAACACUAUCAGCGCAUCCUUGUACUUUUUUAUAUCUGACAUAGAAAUUUGGUUCUGAUGAAAAAAUGUACAUUACUAAAGCAGCAGCACUAAGCCUCACGUUUUGCUUCAAAGAGCAUCAUAACAACUAAUUAAAACCUUAUUGACUUCUCUUGUCCUUUUUCCAACACUCUUGCUAUGGUGCACAGGAAGUGCUUCCACCUCUCCAUUUGAAGGAGAAAGACUAUGACAUAGAGAGGAAAAUAUUUCUCCCCUGUAAAGGAGAGAAAAUGGAAGAGAAAAACAAGAAAUAAAAGGCUGAUGAAUACACAAGAAAGGUAACCGUGAAGCUUUCCAGUGUCAUCGAUCCUUUCUUAGAUAAGAAGUCAGCUUCCAUGUUAACUUAUAGAGAAAUCAGAGCAAAUCCCAGAAAAGAAAAUUGACCAGUCUUUGUCAGUGGGGAAUCUCCUUAUAAUGUAAAAAUAUCUGAAUUGUGCCUGGAAACCCACUUCACAUCAACAAGCUUGGCAAACAAGAUGGCCAUACUGAACUGGAAAAGAUAUAACAUUUCCUCAACAAUCUUUGCAUAUGCUUCUAAGACCUAUAUAUGAUUGAACACAAACAUCAAUGUUCAACUCAAAGCAAGUGGGAAAAGGCACUAAGGGAACUCUAGCAAGGGAGGAGGCUAAACUGGAUUUUCGAUCCCUUAUGAUGUCUGAGAGCUAAAUUCCAGAGAAUUUUGAACACAUUUAAAACUAGACGAGGCUCUGAAUCUAAUUCAAGGUGGAAUAAAAAACAUAUGUCAGCUAUGGUACUUACACUCUGCAAACUUUAAGAGGAUGGAAGAUGAGAAUUUGUAAGAGAAGCAACAAAAUGGACCAGGGCUUCAAGGCCCAUCAUCAAAAAAAAAAAAAAAGAAGGACAAGGAAUCAGACAUAUACUCCAUGAAUUGUUGAGCUCAAUGAUAUCCUUAUUUUCCAAGUAAAAAUAAAGAACACCACAACAUGGUGUUUCAUUAAAGAUUUUUAUAAGCAUAGGAUGUUAAGCUAAUCAUCAAUUCAUGCAGAGAUCUUCCAUGUAGGAUUUUGAGCACAGUUGUUCAUUCCCUUUGAUGAAACAGUAAUAAUUAUUAAUCCAUGUCUGUUUUAACUUCUGACCAUGUAACUGUUUUCAAAAUCCUUCUUUGCCAUUCAAGGAAUUAGCUUGAAUAAGAAACAAGCAGCACUAGAACCACUUUCAAAGUUCAUUAAAACAGCCAAAGAGUGCCAAAGUCACAAAUAUAUGUGGUUGCUUGCACCCCAGAAAUUCUGGGAAAGGCAUAAGAGGUAAACCUAAUUUCCCUUUGCAAAAGUGAUCCUUUGAAAUAUCAAAUUAUGCUACAUCUACUAAGAAGGAUCAAGCUGACUUACCUCCCAUGGAAGAAGUAGCAAACUCCCCAAGAUUGAAUUUCAGCAUUGGUGAGGUCCAGCGGGGUGCCUGGUAAUUAUCAGGUGGACUACCAGAAUAGGAAAGUGCACCGUCAGACACAGAAUGAUGAUGGUUAGCAUACCUAUCGCUGUCCACCCCACUUCUGUUUUCUUUGCUAUUUAAGGAAAAUGAUGAACCAUGUUCUGGAGCACCAUAGGACCCAUGAGGCAAACCGUCUGAUUGCAAUCUACAAUCCCAUGUCCGCAAUGGAGGAGGAGAAAAGCUAGAGUUUGUCCGCCAUUGUGGUUCUCCAUGAUCUGUGGAGUGGUCUCCACCUGUAUUUGUUUUUGCUCCAUGUGGCCCAGCGGCCACACAACAAAGUGCACCCGUGUUAGCUAUUUUCUAUUGGCAACAGUAAAGAAGUAUCGUGAUCUAGUGCAAGCCUAUCAAGGAUUGAAACCAGUAUUUCUCAUCAAAGAAAAAUUCGACUGAGGUUAAUAACUUCCCAGCAGAGUGAAUCCCACAAGUUGGACUAUUGAACUCUCAUGUUACAAUAAAGCAUAUACACGAGCACUUCAAAAUCCACUGGUGAUUGUGCAACUUUCUGGUUAAAUUUACCACUCCAGAAGACUCAGCUUGUUGCUUGCUCUCCUGUUGCACUUCAUUCAAGGCAGCAUUCCAUAAAAGUAUUUAGCCUGAGAGGUGGAGCAUGUUAAGACCAGGACAACAAAGUCCCUAGCUUAAAGAUAACACGCAAAAGUGGCAUAAAAGAAAGGGCAUUAUGUACCAGUGUGGAGUGCAAAGCAAUUUAUAAAAGGGAAGAGAAGAAAAAUCCUGAGUUCUCUAAUUAACAACUAACCAUAGGGUUAGAUAAAUUCAACUAAGCUUGCAAGUAUUAAAAUUCCAACUAUUUUUAUUCAAAACCCUGUUUCUCAUGGAACUAAAACAAUCCUCAGGCAAUUCCUUAAGUUCAUAGUGUCUAGCAAAUGUCACCAGAAAAAUGUUCUUUAUUUUGGUACUUUUUGUAAUUAAAAAAAAAAAAAAAAAUUCUUUUGAAAUAUCUUUAAUAUAAUAUAUUGUUGUAUUGCCUGAUUUUGCAAAUGGAAUCAAAGAAUAAGAAGGAUUCAAGAUCUAUCUCAUUGGUUGCAUUUAACAUCGAUCGUGCAGAGGUUUUACAGAAUAUCACUCACAGAUUUAAUUUAAGUCCAUUAAUCUAUAUAUGUAAAUCAUGUAUUCUUACUGCCUAGCCUUUUUGGGGCAUUGUGUAUAUUUCGUGUGUACUGUUUUCACGUUUUUAAAUGUUUAUAAUGUAAGCCCUCUUAUUACCUAUAAAAAAAUCUGUGUAUAUCAUGCGACCAUAUGUUAGACUUAUUAUAUACAGAUUUCCUCUCAAUGGACAGAAGUAUCAACCAUCAUCUACACAAGCUGAGUGGACAGAAGCCUCCCCUCUCCAUUUUACAUUAUCCAUAUUGACUACAGUUUCUUGUAGAUACCAUAGAUCACACAACAUAUUAUUCUUUUCCCAAUUGCAAACUAGUGGUGACAACAACAUGACAAUGAGACAACUAUUUAUCCUUCUUUUUCCAUGCAAUAUAAAUCGAUUACAAAGCCUAUAUUGUUUUCGUCUCCCUAAUCUUUUUUUUUGUUUGUUUGAUAGGUAAAAGAAGCUAUCAUUCAAAGGGCCAAUAAGGCAGGAAAACCCUAUUAUAUAUUAUGUAUAUAAAAAACAUCCCACCCAUCAAAAGGCAAACAAACACCGUAUCAGUCCACCUCUACCAAUAAAGCAGUUAAAAAAGAGACAAAUUCCACUCCCUUAAAUAUCAAUGUCUUUCACAAAAGAGUUUCUGCCAUGUGGAAACCCCAUUAUUUGAGGGGCUUAGGUAGGCUCUGUUUGGAUUGACUUCUUAGAAGUCAAAAGCUUUUUUUUAAGCUCAAUAAGAGCUUCUAAGUCUGUUUCGUUGAUUUUGUUCAAAGAGCUUAUGACUUAUAAAUAAAUAAAUAAAAACUUAAUAUGGAAGUUAAGAAAAUGUUACUUAUUGUAGAAGCUUUAUUUUGGCUUAUGUAAGAAGUUCUUUCAUAUUUAAUAAAACUUUUAUAAUACUAAUGUUGCCAUUUGAAAAUUAUGACUUUGGCUUCAUCUUCCGGUUAAAGCCAAAAAUAUGAAGCUAUUCCAAAUGAUGCCCUAUAAAUGUAGGGGAAAACAUUAAAAAGUAUCAACUUGAAGCUAUUCCAAAUAAUGCCCUAUAAAUCUAGGGGAAAACAUUAAAAAGGAUCAACUUCUCAACAAUUAUGGCAGUCUUAACUCUCAACUGUGGGAUACCAAGUGAGCUCUAAGAAGUUAACAAGAGAACUUGUUCAUUAUCACUUCUAAACCUAUCUGACAAUCAAUGUGGUUUUCUGGUUCAAUGAACCAUGGCUUUAUGCAUUGAACAGUGUUCUAUAUUUUCUUGCAUUGGGUGUUUCAUCUCACAAGCAUCCUAUAUAGUUAACUAGGGCAAAAAACUAAUAUUUAUUCAAUUAUUAGAAGUUUCUGGGAACAAUUGAGAGGCAUUUGACCAAGAUUCAUGUGGUGAUCAGUUCAAUUACUGAAUCUUUGAGAUUAGGAUACUGUCACCGAAGUUGUGAGACCAUAACUACAGACUAUCCCCUUACAAAUGAUUUGUGACAGCAUUUUACCUCUUUUUUUUUCUAAAAUAAGACAUCAGGGUUGAAGAAUAACAACUACAUGCACUGAGGCAGAGGGCCUGAUGGAUCAAAAAACAAUAAUUUUAGACAAUAAUUUGCAAUUAGAGAAACUGACAAAAAGUCGAAACAAUUUACAUCAUUUGAUAAUUAUAUUCCUAAAAAAAAUGUUAGGCAGGAUUUUAAAAUUUAGUGAAACCUUUUACGACCGACAAUUUAUGUUCACAAUGGGGACAGUGGAGGACAACACUAUCAAAUUCAAAACUAAUCACCACUGAAAAUCUUCAACCCCUUACCUGAAGACAAAAAAAAAAAAAAAAGGAAGGAAAGAAAGAAGGGGGAAAAUUGAACGCAUACACGAAAUUUCAAGUUUUCAACAAAAAGAGAAAAAAAAAAAAGGAAGAGAAAGCAAAUAUCACUCAAACAAAUCCUCAGAGAAAGAUAACCACGAGAGUUGCGGAGAUCCUAAUGAAACGAAGCAUAAAUGACAAACACAAAACUGAUGGAGAAGAUGAGCCAACUGACAAAGCUUGACAAAGCAAGCAUAAAAGAAACAAUUUCAAAGCAAACAUAGGAACACGGAGCUGGCACCUGAAACACAAAAAGGAAAAAAAAAAUGAUUUUGGGACAAAGGAAAGUCCCAGAAUUAUUGGAGGAGAGAAAGAGAGAGAGAAGGAGAGGAAGAGACACAUCCAUACCUCGAAAUCUGUUGGGAUUAUUAGGGUUAGGGUUAGGGUUAGGAUGAUGAAAAGAAAACCCUAGCUCCGGAAUGAUGAUGGGCGGCGAUUCUGUAAUGCGAGAGGAAAUAUUCUGCCUUUUUUUCUUUUGGUCUGUUUGACAGAGAAUGAAAGCCGUAUUAUUGGGUAAUUAUUUAAGUGAAAAGAAUAAAAUACGCUAUCCACCUAUUCACUACUUCAUACUCUGCUCCAAACAUAUCAAUUUCCCAGAUUUGGAUCACAUUCAUUACUGGGUAUCAAUCAUAAAAUACUCUCGCCACAUCAUCCUCCUCCUUUAAAUAAUAUUAAUAAUUUCUUUUUAAUCUGAAAUUCAUAUAGAAUAUAAUUUUUUAAAUUUAAAUUUUAUUUUCAUUUUUUUAAAUCUGAAAUUUGUGGAAUCUUUUUUUUUUUUAAUUUAUUUGUGUUCUCCCUCAAUUAAAAAAAAAACACCUUCAUCUUUCCACUUGUAUGCAUUAAUUUAAUUCAAAUCUUAUUCAAAGAUAAAAACAUAUUUUUAAUUACAAAUAAAUUAAAAAAUAAAAUCAUAAAUUAUAUUUUUUAUAAAAAAGAAAUACUAUUUUAGUAUAUGUUAAAAACAUAAAAAUAUUAACAUCUUUCCUUUUUUUUUUUUUUAAGAAUAAUAAUUAUUAUUAAUAAUAUUUUAUUUAAAAUAAAUAACCAACCAAAUUUAACAUUUUUAACAAUAAAUAAGUAAGGUCUUUAUUUAAUACUCAAUUAUGAAUAUAAUAUUUUAAAAUAUUUUGAUUUAAUAUGUAAUUAAUUAAAUUGGUUUUUUGAAUUCCAUAUUAUUCUUAAAAAUUAAAAUUAAUUUUAAACCUACUAUAUAUUUAAGAUAAUCAAUAUAAUCAAUACUCAAAUGAUCAUAUAAGCAUGCAAAGAACACAAUAUUUUUUUUCUACGUGGAAAACACUUACACUAACUGUUAAGAUAAAAAUCAUAGGUUUAAACUUCGAAUCUAAGAAUAUGUUUGGUACUGAUUUUAAAAAAUGUUUUUAACAUUUUUAAUGUUUGAAAAAUAAAUAUUUUCAAGUUUAGAAAGGUCGAAAACAAUUUUUAAAAUUACAAUCAAACGCACUCUAGAUCUACUAUAUAGAUAAAUCACACAAAUUUACCAAAUUGUUUUACCUUCAAAAUUUACUUUCCAACACCUACAACUUGAUCCAAUAAAACAAUUUUUGAUUGCUCUAAUAAAUACACCUUAAUCUCUUUAAGUUAUUUUUAAAAAUUUUUACACCCAAUCCAAUCACUUUAAGUCUUACUUAAUUGGAGUUUAUUUGCUUAAUUCAAAUAUUUAUAAAAAUAUAAUAUAUGUAAAGAAAAAACUAACCAAGUCAUUAAAAUAAAUUUUGCCUAAUGACUUUUUAAUAUUAUUAAGUUCCAUCACUUUUUGGUAUUAAUUAAAUCGGUUUUUUAAUUUCAAAUUAUUUUGAAAAAUUAAUAAAUUUUAUGUAUCAGUUAUUUAUUGAUUUGGAUUAUAUUUUCUUAAUAAAAAAUUUUUAAAUUAAAAGAAAUUUAGAAAAAAACACUUUUUAUUUGAAGAUUUUUGGUAUUUGUCUUAGAUAAUUGAAAGAGAACAAUAAUAGUAUCCAGUUUAAUUUUAUUUGUUUUUUUGUGUUUUUUUUUAAUUUUUCUAUAUUUUUAUUUUGUUUCUAAAAACCAAUGAAAAUAACUUCAUUGUUUUCUAUUUCACUUUGUUUCUAAAAACCGAAUUAAUUUUUUUAUUUCACUUUGUUUUAAAAAAUUGAAAGUAGAGAAUAAUGAUCAAAGAGAGUUUUACUACUUAUACAACUCCAACAAUAAGGUGAAGUGAUUUUUUAGUCUUUUAAGAGUUUAUCAAAUACCUAGGUUUGUUUGGUCGGAUGAUUAAAAAAUAAUUUUUUGCUUUUAAAAACAAAAAUCUAUUUUUAAAAAUUUUCUAGGACUAUUUGAUUAUUGUUCUUUAUAUCUAGCUUUUUUUUAAAAAAAAAAAAAAAGUAAAAUAGAGAACAGAUUUUUAUAAAAUAGAUUAAAGUUUUCACCAUUUUUUUGUAACAAAAAGAAACCAUUGAGAAAUUUAAAAACCAUAAAAAAAACAAAUAAAUUCGAACAUCUUGUCACUCUUGCUUUUUGUUUUUUCCAUGGAAAAAUUUUAAAUAUAAUAUUCCUUUAAAUUACAAGUGUUUGUAUGAAUUUCUUUCAAUUUAAUAAAAAUUUGUCAUUAAUCAAGUAAAUUCAAAAUCAAACUAUACUUUUUAUAUAACAUUUAUUCAUUUUUAAAAAUCAAUUUAAUGAGUGCUAAAAAGUCAUGCAACUCAACUAGUUUAUUUUUUACAUAUUUUCAUAAUUUUACAAAAAAAUUUAACUGAACAAAUAAAUUUCAAAUCAAAUAAGAUUUAAUGUGUUAAAUUCAUUAACGAGUCUAAUAUUUUUUUUAAAUAACUUAGAAACCCAAAUAGUAAUUUAAUUAAUACUAUAAAUUUCUAAACAAAAAUUAAUUUAAAACAACUUUAUUGUUUAUCUUUUACAUAAAAUCAUAUUUAAUGCAUUAAAUUCAUUAAUAAGAAUAAUAAUUUUUAAAAUAAUUUAAAACUCAAAUAGCGAACCAAUUAAUAUAAAAAAAUUAUGGACAAAAAUUUGUUUAUAAUGAUUUUAUUAUUAUUUUUUACACAUAAUCAUAUUUUUAUAAAUUGUUUCACUAGACAAAUGAACUUCAAUACAAACAAUACUUUGUAUUGAAUUUAUUAAUGAGUCAACUUAAAAACGAUUUUUAAAAAUAAGUAUAAGAAAAUAUGAUCAAAUCGACCCUUAAUUUUUGUAUCAAAGCAUUUACAAAAUUAAGAAACAUUUAUAGCUAUUUUCAAAUUCAUUUUCGUUCUUAACACCUUAUUAAUUCAACUUUUAUUAUAAAUUUGCAUCAUCUUUUGUUUUUUUGAUAUUUUUUAUUAUUCUAAAAAUAAUAUGUUAAUAUCAAUCGAUAUAACUAAAAUAAACUUAUUAUCGAUAAGUUUGAUUUAGUUAUAUUGAUUAAUAUUAAUAGGUUACUUUUAGUUUAAUAGAAAAAAUCAAAAUAUUCAAUUAAAAAACAAACACCAACUAGUCAUAUACUUUUCUAUAAAUGAUUUGAUUUUUUAAAAAACAUAACUAAUCACAUUACAUGAAUUUUAUCUUAUUAUAUAUAUAUAUAUAUAUAUAUAUAUAUAUAAAAUGGAUUAAAAUAAAAUAAAACAAUUUAAAAAGUAAAAUAAUAAAGUAGAUAGAGAUAUAAAAUAUAAAUUAUGAUGAUAAGGAUGAAAUCUAAUUUAUGGUAAAUGAAAAAAAAAAACUGAACAUAUAAAAAAAUUAAGGUAAAUAUACUCCAAUGAUGACUUUUAUUUAAUUAUUUUUAAUAUUUUAUUUCAUUUUUAAAAUAACUUUAUUUUUAUUUUAACAAAGUUUAUUUUUCUAAUAGUAAAAAGAUUUUUUAAAAAUUUAUUUAAAGAAAUACGAUAAAUUGCUAAAAAUAUGUGGUGGCAAGAUUUUAUGAAUUGUCUUUUAUGAAAAAUAUAGAAAAAGAAAUCUCAAUUUUUAUAAAUCAGUUUUAUUUUCAUUUAUUGAAAAGUAUUUUUAAAAUAUGUGUAUUUUUUUUAUAAAUGAGAUAAUUAUUUUCUAAAAGACACCUUUACUUAUAACAUUAAGUAAAUUUAUAAAAAAAAUAAUAAUUUAUCAUUUUAAUUUGAUAAAAUUAUCUUACAAAUAAAUAUAUUAUAAUUUUUUUUAUAAUAUAAUAUGAUAUACAAACCAUUUUAAAAAAAUUAUCCAGAAUUCUCAAAUAGUAAAUAAAAUGUUUUUAAUUAUCUAAUUAAUAAUGAUUUUAUAUAUUGAAUCUUCCAAUUUUUUUAAUAAAAUUGAAUAAAAUUUUUAUUAAUUAACAUCAACAAUAAAAUAAGAAAUUUUAAAAAUUAAUCAUACAAUUAAAUCUAAAAUAUUUAAAAAUGAAAUACAAUUAAAACAAAAAAAAACACUUAAAAAUUAAAAGAAAUGAAAUAUUGAUUUUCAUUGUAUUUCCAACUCUUUCUUGAAUCUAUUUUUUUUUAUAGUGUGAUUUAGAGAAGUGAAAAUUUAUAUUUUAUUUUUAUAUUUUUUCAUUUAAAGUUUUUUUUUUGUUUUAAUUGUAUUUUUAAUUUUUAAUAUUUUCAAUUGGUGUUGUUAACCUCAGGUCAUUUCAAGUGAUAAUUAUUUGAAUUAUGAAAAAAAAUAGAUAUAUUUUAAAUAUUUUUAUAUGGGUGAAGAUAAAACUGUUACGAUUUUUUUUUUUAAAUUAGUGAGUAAAAAUCCACUCUUCCUUUAUGGAAGAAGUGCCCCCUUUAUUACACAUUAAUAUCGUUAAAUUAUUUGGUUUUAUAUGCUAAAAUUAAUAAGAUUUUUGCAGACACAUGAUAAGAAAUAUCUCAAGAGUAGUAAAAUAUUAUUACAACUGAAUAUAUAAAAAAAAUGAUAGAAAAUAUUUUUAUUUCCACACAUCACUGCUCCUGUCUCCUUUUCAGUUUUCACUUUCUUCAACACCCAUAUGCACUGUCACUACCGUUAUGGGCAAAAAAGAGUCCAAGUUUUAGCUCCAUUGCAAUCUGUUCUUGUUGAAUUGGAGCUGCUGCAUUUCUUCUCUAGAAUUCAGUUUUGGGCUUUAACCAAACUUCUGUGAAAGCUCAUAUUCUUAUUCUUAUUAGGGUUAUUUUUAUCUUUGCAGAAAUCUAAGGCAGAUGGGGGCCAUAAAAGCCUUUAAAUUCAGAAACUGUGAGUUCCCAGAGAUCUCACUGUUGGAUUUUUAAAGCUUAGAUUCAUCCAUUAACAUGGGUAGUAUCAUCUUGAAAAGCUUGUGCUAAAGGGUUGCCAUUUCCAAGAGAUUUCUGUGAUGGGUCAUGAUAUUGUGGUCAAUCUGAUCUUUUAAAAGGGAUCUUUUGUUCAGGAAAAAAAAAAUGAGAGCUUCUAGAUAUUCUUUCCUUGGGUUUUCUAGUAUUAUACCUGUUUGCUACCUUUUGGUUAAUUUUGAAUCUCCAACUUUCAAAAGGAGGCCCAGUUAGAGAGACCUAGAGUUCUCUUUUAAGGUUGAAAGGAGAGGAAAAGAAAGGAUGUGAACCAACAAAAUAGGAUAAAACAAUAAGAACAGAGCCUACCAAUCUUCCUCACACGGAGUUGAAAAAAUAGAGAUAUAUUUAUGCACGAGUUGAUCAAAAAAGAAUUUGAGCCACACAAAUUUUAUUCUUACCUGAAAAGGGCAAGUAAAGCCACUCUCUCCCUCAAAUUUAUGGGAUGCAGAAUCUGUCUCUUGGGUUAAGUGAAGAGCAAGAAUUUGAGGACCCACUUGCAGUUACCUAUGAUGGCCCUUUGUAGCUCUUCUUAAUACUUAAUACAUAUGAAGAUGAUACGAUGAGCAGAAGAGUCGCCCCUUUUACCCUAACUGAGAUCUUCCCAAUGGAGUGUUUAAAAUUUGUUUAUCUAAUUUUUGACCAAACACUUGUCCUUUCCCAAUUCAAUAACUAUACAACAAAACAAAAUUGGAUUAGAGAUAAAAGUGAUCAUGUGCUAUGCUGCAGUGCUCCUGAAAAGCCCAUCUGCCUUGCUUUUUCUUCUGUUGAAUAAAGGGAAAUUAUCGUUAAGGCGGAUUAAGAUUAAAUUACUCAAGAGUUGGGCGUGGUUGGGUAUCAUCCAUAGGAUGGAAUUAAGGGUUUUAUGUAUUAGCUUUUGCCUGAUCACUUGAUCUCUCAUUGUGCAACUAAAGACAAAGCUUUCUUUGUCUAAUAAAUGCAGCUGCAGUCUCAGGAUAAUACCACUCUUAUGUCAAUCCCUUUUCUUUCCAUCUACUUGCACAAGUCCUUUCCAUGUCUUCAACUUUUUCUUUUUCAUUUUGAGUUGGAUUUGUUAUUUCUUUUGGCCAUCUGCUUCUUCUGUUGCUUCAGUCAUUGAUCAGCUAUCAUAGACAGUGAGUGAGACCCACUUAAGGAUAAGGUGCAGAUGGGGGUGUAGUUUUAGAUUUUAGUUUUCUACUCUUUCAUGAAGGAAUUAAUACCAUAAACCAUAUGGUUUUAAGGCCUUAAGGGGUGAUGAGAUUGAUAUCUUUGAGUGAACACAUUUCAUUCCCAUGUAUGGUUCAUUGAUUUAACUAAAUUUAUCUUGAUGAGGGGGACAGUACUCUCUUUUUGGCAAACCAAGGAACAUGGGCCUUGGGGGAGAGAAGAAUCCAGACUAUAUUUUCUAUUGAGUGCUAAAGCAAAGGGCCAAUGCCCCACAAAACAGGCCUUGAUCCUCGAGUCCCUCACUUCCCUAGAUUAAUCGUUUUUGCAGGACUCCACUGCACUGCCCCUUAUAUGUUUCCUCCCCACAUUUAUUUUCCUCUCCUGCAACAUUCAUCUGAAAUGGACCCCUUUUUUCUUGCCUCUGCAGUGAAUAUAAGUUCUUCCAGGAAAACACGAGCAUCCAUUAUUACUGUACUACAUUGCAGAAUGCUCCCUCCCAGGCAAAAUAUAUGUAAUAAUUUAUUUCAUUUCAAUUUUACAGAAGAUAUUACCAUUCUUCCUUUUUGUAUAUACAUACACUGUUAUUCUUCGGAUGUAUGCAAGUUUAUUAUUUACUCCUACUGCAGUCUAUCCUAUCCACAAGGCAAGUGGCCCCAUAGGACCCAAAAAACAUUUAGCUUCCAUACCACCAUUCUGAUGCAAUAAAUCGAACUUUAACAUUGCCCAUCUGAGCGUGUUGGUGUUUGGUUGAUUGUGAACUCAUCAAUGACUCUGGAAGUUUUUCUAUUUGAGCAGCACUCAAGUUGGGCUACUUUAAAAUUAUAUAUUGACCUAAUUUUUCCUUUCUUGGCAAUAUGUUCUAAUGAGAGGCAUGGAAGGAACCUUAUCGCUUUAUGUCACUGGCCAACGUUAGAUCUUUGUAAGAGCUGUCCUCAUCACCUCGAUUUAAGAUAAUGCAUAAAAUUUGCAGCAGUUCAUCAAUAAUAGCUCCAUCCAUCCAGCCAUUGCUUCUCCUCCUCCCUUCACUUCUAUAUAAAAGCUUCAUCAACCUCCUCCUUCCUUUUCAUCCGUACUUCCCCUUUUCCAUUUGGUUCUCCGUCCCCCCUCUCUCUCUUCCCUGGUGUAUUUUCUGCAUCUCCAUUUUAGCCCAUUGCUCGCAAGGCAUAGCAGCUGUUUCUGCUAGGGUUAUCAUCUCUCUCACCCGCAGCCUUGCAUGUAGGCUCAGAAAGUAUGGUGCAGCCAAGGAUGACUUGCCGACUCUCUACUUAGCCAUCUGCCUUUCUCCAAGGAGGCUUGCAGUACUGAUGAAGCCGGCAAGUUGUCUUUGGCUACAUGCUUCUUUCUGCUCCUCAUGCUAGGCUUUUGGUGAUAAUUAAUAAUACUUGGAGGCAGCUUCUUCGAAGGCUUGACCUGCUCUCUACAGCGUAAAUCUUAUUGUGGCUAAGAAUCAUAAUUAAUUGUUGUUUCUUCCUGCAUUGUCCGAGAUCAAGACCUCACGAUCGAUUUAUCUCUAUUAUGUGCCGCAGCACUGAUCUCUUUCUCUAACCAGAAAUCAGUCUAGUGACGAAGUUACUUUUAGCAUCAUGUGAUCUUUAAUUUGUUGGGACGAGGUACAUUUGCCAAAUCCCUUCUGUUUAUGCUUUAACUUCUCGGUUUUUCUGUUGAUUCAAUGCUUUUGCUAAGAUGUGUUGUGCAUUCGUUAGACUAAACCUUUUAGAUCAUGUUCAAUGUGUCAAUUUUCUAUGGAUUUACGAGUUUCUACCUUAAUUAAUUCCAAAUUAGCGGUUGCCACCAGCCAAUAUUUAAGCCAUUUGACAACUGUUUGAUAUUAGACUGAAUUGAUUAGAAAACAUUGAUCAUUGUAAAAUCAUUCAUCUAGUCUCAUAAUGUAAGGUGGUCAAGCCAUAAAACCUAAAGAAGGUUUCAGUCUAUUCUAUCAUUUUAGUAUUUCUUUGAGUGGAAAAAAGUGUAUGAGCCUCUGCUGCUGCCUGGUUUUGUUGUUGGUUUCUUGAAUGCAUGCUUGGACAAGUUUUCUCUCUUUCUUUUUGGGCUUCAAAUGGCCAACUGGGGAACCUGCAUGACUACACUGAGAGAUAUGCAAAUUAGGAAACAUUUGCUCUUCUUAAGAGAUAAAAACACCAGGCGGCUGGUGACUGAUACAAGAAUAUAUAGCUUCCUGAAUUUGGACAUGUUCAGAAGCCUGCAGCUUGGCUUGGGCUCCCCCCAAAUUGAUGGCGAAUUACCUAGGAGAAAAAAUUCAAUUCUUAACAUAGUGGCUGCUUUGAUAGUAAAAGUUCCUUUGUAGCUUUCAUGUUGUAUGAUUUCUUAUAUAUAGUCAAGCAGAUUCAUCUUUUUUUCAAGUUUGCUUCUGGUCAAGUAUGCUUUAUCAUAACCUCAACAUGCUUGGGCCUGGCUCAAGCAACGAGUCUACCCAUAGAUGGGCCUCCUCCAAUCUUGGGCCUGAGUUUACAAGUAUAAAGCCUGCACUAUACGCAUCAAAUUGAUUGAGCUCAGCCUUGGUCCAACAAAUGGGAUAUUUUAAUGCUAAGCGCCACACGAGAAAGGUACGUGGGUGUGACCCAACAGGAGAGGUUGAGACUUGAGACACAUGACAUCUUGUUUAAAAAAGGCCUGGUAUCACAUUCGGCAAUCAAUUAUCUUAAUAAAUUGUUAGGAUUUGAGUCGCUGAUGUCCCUUCAAAUGAGGCUCCGUAUCAUAUUUCACAACCAAUUUUUUAAAAAGUUUAAGCGAUUGGCUCAACGUCAUAUUCCUCAACCAAUUUACUUAAAACUUAAGUUAUCAAUAUUUAAAUCAUCUUCGAAAAAUCAAUUUAAUAGAUUAGUGAGUGCUUGAUAAAUCAAUUUAAUAACUUAAAGUGAUUUAAUAACUUAAUUUAAAUUAUUAAAUAAAUUAAGUAUGUAUGAUAAUAUGAUUUAAUAGUAUGACUUAAAAGUUAAAAACAACUGUUAAGUAAAAAUAAUUUAUUUGUUCUUAAUUCUACAUCUUUAUUUUACUUUUUUACCUUCGUUUGCUCUAAUUAUCUACAUUAUCUCUUUUUUUACUCCUCCACCUUUAUUGUUACUUAACCUAAUUUACUCUAAUUAUAAUUUAUGAGAAUAAAUAUAUCAAUUUGAUAAUUUAAAAUAUGUUUUAAAUUAAUUUCAUCAAACAACCUUAAUACUUAAAGUAAAAAUUAAGUAAUAAGUUUUAAUUUUACAAUUUAAGUAUAAUUUGAUUUAAAGUCAACUUAAUUCAUUAAGUAAUAAAUAUCAAGUUUUACCAAACACCUCUUAAUGACUUACUUAAGUUAUUAAAUAGAUUAAACAUGUUUGAUAAAAUAAUUAAUGAGGAUGUUUAUUUUUUUUAGCUUUUUGCUUAAAACAAUUUACUUUUAGACUUUAGAUUGUUUAUUUUUCUAUUUUUUUUAUGACUUAUUAUAAACUUUUUACUAAAUGGAAAAAACAAUAUGUUGAUUUUUUUGUUUUGUUUUUGCUUUUUAAUGCUUAAUAGAAAUAAAAUAUUAUCCAAGAGAAAAAAAAACCCUAAUACUUAACAUUAUUAAGCAUUAAAAUUCUAUUUAAAAUUAAGUAAAAAAAACAAAUACCGCCUUAGUUUUGAUUUCAAAUCUCCUUUGUCGUCUUUGUUUUGUUUAGGGAGAUAAUAUUUUACAACUAUAACUUUACAUUCACAUAUCAUCUUUUAUAAUAAAUAUUUUUAUAAAUAUCCUUUGUAUUUAUAAUACUUUAAAUUGAUAUUUAACAAAUAAAUUUAUUAUUUAAAAUUAGUGAAAGGAUAAUUAUUAUCAAACAACUUUAAUAUUUAAUACUUAAAAUAAAAAUUAAAUAAUAAUUUUUAAGUUAAUAAUUUAACUUAAAAUUAACUUAAAUUAUUAAGUAAUAAACAUUACAUUUUAACGAAUACCCUCUUAUCACAACCAGUAUCAUUCUUUCUCAUAAUAAUAUUGAAAACAUUUAAGUAUUUUUAUCACAAGGUUAGUAAUGAAAAACAACUUUACUUUGAAUAAUCAAUGGACCUUAACUUGAUAGUCUAGUUUCAAAUGGAAAUGAUAUAACCAAUUCACAAAUCAUUAAUUUUCACUAAAUACUAGGAUGACAGUACUAAAAGCAAAUUGAGUAAGGGAGAGGAAAUGGAAUGAUACUUUCCAAUGACCAAAUAAAUUUGUUGGGUCUUUGUUUUUUCUUUUCUUAAUUUUAUCUGUGGAUAAAAUUUAGAAUAUGCUUUAAAAUAAGCUUAGAUACUCAACCCCAUUUUGGCUUCAAUCUUUAAUUGUUUUAAAAUUAGACCAAAUCACUAAAUAAGUAAUUAAUAAAUAUAGUUUAGAUUUGGUGUCACAUGAUCUAACACACAAUCUAAACCGUUUAAAUGUAUGGUAAAACAAAGAUUAUUAAAUGGUAAUAUAAAUAUAUAAGACAAAGUAAAUAAAAAAAUCUAAAUUAAAAAUAAUAAGAUCAUUUAUAAGAUAUAAAGUAAUGAACCAGUGAUAAUAUUUUGUAAUCGUCACUCUUAGGGUGGCCGGGAGGGCAAAUAGGUUGGAUCAGGUGGGGAAGAACAUGGGCUUGAGGAAUUGAACAUGGGCCAUAAAACUUUUGAAGUCCCAUUUCUUUGUAGACCUAAAUCCUAUACGGCUAUACCUAACCACACAUAUUCAAAAUAAAAGAAGAGUGUGUGACAUUGUUGAGUGUUGAGUGUUGAGUGUUGAGUGCUGAGUGACGUCCAUUCAAGCCAAUCUUUACACCGAUGACAGCUGAGUAGUUAAAGAUCUUAAACUUGAUAUGGACACAUGGGAUUGGGUGGGUGAGAAAGGGAUAAGCCUUGAACGCGUGUGAAAGAAACAUUACACAAAGAAAUGAAAAUUAGUAAAUUGCAAUGGACAGAGGACCCCCCACAGCGCAUUAGCUUAGCGUGUCAAGGUAGGCAGGCCACGUUGAGGCCUCCACCCACAUACACGCAACCUUAUCCAUCGCUUUGUAAUGUAGCUUCCACCCUUAAACUCAUCAUCAUCUACUCCUGUGGUCCAACACCCAAAAGCGACCCAAUCCUUUUUCAAACAAAUAUUCAUCCUCAUACAAUAGGCUACGUGGGAGAUGCGAAGAAUCCAUCGCUGCAGGACUCCUGGAACCCACAUUCCUUUACCAGAAGCUUUGAUCGACAAGAAAAAGGAAAAUAUCAACAGGCCCACACAGAGAGAAAAAGAGAAAAAAGAAAAAGCAAAAGGGCUCUUAUAUUGAAGAAGCAAAUAGAGGGGCACCCUAUUUAGUAUUUACAAUCACAAGCGGCCAAAGAGCCAGUAAACUCAGCACACAUCUAUAUUACCUCUUGAUAGCUCCCAUAGAUUAGCAGGCUUUGAUCCAAAAAAAUAAAUCCAAACGCCUGCAACUCCAUGGAGGCAUACACUUGCUAUGCCUUGGAUUUUUUAUGGUUUGUUAAUUUCUAAACACGAAUUAUAUGAACAAAAACACACACAACUGUACAGGGAAGGGAUGAGAUUGACUGUGGGGAAUGCCGUCUAAAUCAUGGCCACGGUUUUCUCUUUCACCUCAGAGUCAUGAAAACCCUUCAGGCUUGUUGAGGGAAGAGGAAGUGAUAGAGGGAGAGGCAGAGGAAGAGGAAGCUCUUCAUUUGAAAAGGCCGCAGCCGAUGUUGCUUCUACUGCUAUCUCUUCCUGUGCGGGCGUAGGCACUGGUUUCGGCGAGUAGUUAAAGGAGAAAUCUUUGUUAGCAGACAGCGCCAGCAGCUCCUUCUCCUCCAGCCCCUUUGUCGGUUCAAGACUGCAUCUAUCUGGGGUGUGUUUGGCCAAUGCAUCCUUAAAUUUCUUGAUCUGUAAAUAUGAUCAUAAUCCAUAGAUCAGAACAAAAAGAAAGAAACCCAAGAACAUUAAACCAAAUAUAACCAAGUUUAAACGAAAAUGCUUUCAAACCCAAUUUAGUUGCCACAAAAAAAAAAAAAAAAAAUCCCAAUUGGGUUGAGAAUGGAAUGAUAGAUUAAGAGAAACAGAUAGGCCUGUUAUUUGAAAGCACAAAUAUUCGAGGAAGAUGAAAACUAACCGUGGCGUUGGUACAGCUGAAGCUGCAUAGACGGCCAUGAGCCCCUCUGUAAAAACGGAAGAAGGGAAGAACAUGGACGUUGAGGCUGUAACACAUGGAUUUAUGCUCCUCAUAGUUCACCUGAAGGAACUCAACAUCUGGAUUCAUCUCUGCCAACUGACAGAUCUGCCCAAAUAAAAACAGAGCAUCCAUCUCAAUGACGACAAAUUAGACAAACCCAUAACUUGAAGGGCCUCCCAUAUCAAUCGUUUUUUUUUUUUUUUGGGAAGGGGUGUAAAGGAGAGUCGCACCUUGGGAUGAAGGGCUCUGCAGCCUCCACAACCAGGGGAGAAGAAAUCAACAACAACCAGUUUAUCCCCAGCGUUUAGAAGGGAGUCCACAAGGUCUUGGGCACCGGUCACCUCUUUCAUGUUUGGUUGAAGCCCUUUCUCCCACCAUUUCUGAGCUUUUCCAAUGGCAAGUCCCAUCUGUAGAUUUCACAAACACAAAAUUACAGCCAAGCCUGAAAUUAAAGGGGGGGAAAGGAUUUUGCCUUUGUCCUCCAAAAACACCAUCUACAAGGCCCUAAAAAUAGAUAAAAACAAGGAGUUUCGAUAGAGAAUGUGGAGAUCCUGACCAGUGUGCAAGAAGCUUGGGCAUUUCUUCUCUUGGGCAUGCUUCCAAUCUCUUGAAGAACGAUUCUUCCGCCAUGGAAGUCACUAUUCGAUGAAGAGGAUGAUAACGAUCUGAGAUUGCGGUGCUUCAGUUUCAGAGAUGGAAACCCCCUUGCAGAAGCAGGGGCCGCUGAUCUAUGGUGCCCAUAAUCAUUAUUGGGGAAAGCAGAGACGCAACAACGACGAUGAUGAUGAUGGCAUGGGGAAAACACGCUAGUCUUGCUCAAAAUUUGGGCCAUGGACAUGAAAUUAUGAAAACCUAAACACCGAAGAAACCCACAGAAACAGAAACGAAUUUCCAGGAGAAUAAAGAGAUUUAAAUCGCUUUGUCUUCCUUUAAGAGAGGUUUGAAAAUUGAACAAGAAAGGAAACAGGGAAAUGGGAAAUGGAUAACAACGAAAAAACGACACAAAAUACUCCACCGGAGCGGGCUGUUAAUGGAUGAAAUGGAGUCCAUGUGUCCAACCCCCAUGUGGAUAACAAACUACUUCCCCCUUACGUUUUCUCCUUUCCAUUUUGUUUCUCUUCCAACAGUGGUCUGAAGGCGGUUUCCAUGGUUGACGAGGGGGGCACGUGACGUAUGUAAGUGGCAACACGUAGCGCCAUCGCCCAUCUAUCAAAACCUUGGCUUUGAGAAAUAAUGGAUAAAUUAUAAAAUAUAGCAACAGAGAGAAAAAGAUUGACGGGACCCUUGGCAUUUAUUCGUUGGAUACAUUCCGAAAAGGGCGUCUCUUUUAUGAUUCAAUCCUAUCCACAUGGCCCAAACCAAUUUGGGUUGUCCAUCCAUUUUAUCCCCAUCGUCAUAAGAUGGGCCUUGACUUUUAUCCAUGUCAUUAAUUUUCUUUUCAAUUUUUUAUCACAACUCUGCACUCCCAAUCACAUGUUACUCGCAUAAUUGUAGGCAUGAGAAAAAUUAAACAUGAAAAUAUAGUUUUUUUCAUGUGAUUAUGAUUUUAUAGGAUACGAUCAUUUUAUGUCUCUUUAUAUGAAGCAAAUAAAGUGAAUUACGAUACGUUGGUGUAGUUGGACCUUGAACUAUGAUGCAUUGAAUGAUCUAACAAUCUCUUUGUCAAGUUAGACAAGGAAUUGUUGGAUUGAUUUUCACAAAAAAGGGAGAAUUCAAAGAGAGCUCACACGAAUUUUCGCAUCGGCAAAACAAGAAGUCCAUAAACUAGUCAAUAAGAAUAAGAGCAAGAGUUUGAAGUUUCUAUAUAUACUAAUGGUAUGAAAGGUUUAAGAGAAGUGUUAAUGUCCUCAACCUCUUCUUUAUGACUUGUGUUAACUAGUCAUGAUCACUUGUACGGUUUCAGGGGAAAAUAAAAGGGAGAAUUACCCAAAAGGUAGGCCGGGCAAAACAAUUACUAGAAAGGGUGGUAUCUUUUAAUAAUUAUUGGGGAGGACUUUAGUAAGCUUAAUAUACCAAAACUGUCCUUUAACUAAAACUUUUAAAAUUCAAAGCAUUUAAAGCACUUCACUUUAUUUGUCAAUACAUUUAUAGUACAUAGGUUCCACAUUUAUUAUAAUUAUUGAUAUUUAAAUUUUAAAUCAAAAUUUUGGGUUUAACCUUUACAAUUAUAUAUAAUUUGUUAUUUAAAUUUACUAUUUAAAACAAAAAUACUUUUAAAAAAUAUUUUCAAAAUAUCAUUUAUUGUUUUUUUACCUUUUUUAUUUUUAUUCUAAUUUUUAAUUUUAUGAAGAAAAAAAUAAGUUUUAUAAUUAUAUAAUAAAAAUGAUGAUUUUUUCAUAUAUAUAUAUAUAUAUAUAUUAUAAUUUUAAAUUGAUAAAUUAUGUUUUUGUAUUAAAUUUAAGGAAGAUAAAAUGUUUAAUUUUUCAUUCAAAUUCUCUAAAAAUAAUAAAAAAAUGAUAGAAAAUGUUUAAUCAUUUUUUAUUUUUAUAAUAAAAUAAUUUAAAAAAAUUUAUAUGAUUUUUUUUUUUCCUUUGCAUAGUGUUUUUUUUAUUUUUUUAUUUUCAUAUAAAUUUUUUUUCUCAAUGUAUCGAGUGGAUGAUGUUAAUAUAUUUGAUAUGUUGAAUAUUAAUAAGGUAUAAAAUGUGAUCCUUAAGAUUAUUACUUUUAUUAUACAAUACAAGCACAACAAAAAUAUGUUAUAAUUACAAUAUAAAUACACUUACAUUACAAUACAUUACAAUAAAACCUAAUUAAGAAAUUUAUGAAUUUUUUUAUAAAAAUGGUAAUUUUGUAUGAUCAUACCAUAUUUCACAACAUACCUAUAUCAUAAAUAAUUUCUGAAAUUAAAUGAAAUACUAAUUUGAAUUCACGUAAUUUAUAUAUAUAUAUAUACAAAAAUUAUUAAAUAAUUUCAAAACACUAAAUAAAUGUUGUUAAUAUAUUAAUACGAUGUGUUAAUACCAAUAAGGUAUGAAUAAAUAUUUUUAAAAUUAUUACUUUUAUAAUAAAAUAUAGGUAUGACAUAAAUGCAUUAUACUUACAAUAUAAAUACACUAUUAUUACAAUAUAUUAUAACAUAAUUUAAUUUAUUUUUAUUUAAUUUUUUCACGUGCUAUAUUACCCAAUGAAUAAUUGUGAGUUAUUCCAUUUAAUAGGUGUGUGUUAGUCAAUUGAAUAUUUAUAUAUUAUUCAAUUGAUGAGUGCCCGUAAAAAAUAAUUAUUUAUUAUAUUAUGAUAAUAAAGUUUUUAAUUGUAUGUUUUAUAUAUAAAACGAUAUAAUAACUUUAAGAUAUGUUUUUUAUUUAUGAGAUAUUAAAAAUUAUUUUUUUUUACAAGGUUCUUUAAAAAAUCUCAAUUUAAAAAAAAAAAACGAAUUUUUAAAUAGUUAAUUGUUCAAAAGUGAUGACAAUUUUUUAAAGUUGAAAAAUGUACCGUUGAUCGCCUAUCAACAUGUACUUAUCAUCAUGUAUGGGUCUCACAUCAUUUAUCAACUUGUACUUAUCAUCAUGUAUGGGCCCCACAUCAUUGACAAUCUCAAUUUAUUUAUAAAUAAUAUAAAAAACAUAUUAAAGGGUAAAAUUAUCUUCUAAAAGAGUGAGCCUUCAUAGUCAUUAUUUUUUCUAACCCACCCUUUUGGGUAAUUCUCCCAAAAUAAAAAGGUUUAAGAUAAAGAUUAGGUAUCACCAUGGAAGAAAAUAUCGCGAUAUAUUGAGAAAAAAUCGCCAAAAAUAAAUGAUAUUUCCCCAUAUAUCGGUGCUAUGCGCAAUAAAUUGUCAAUGCUCCUGCUAUUUUUUAUUUUUUUUGCUGUUUAGGGGACUUGAACCCUGAGGUUCAACUCAUCAGACCACUAGGGCAAGUCUGCCCCUUGUUAAAUGUAAUACAUUAAAAAUAUAUAUUCAAAGUUAUCAUGUAAAGAAAAUUUUAGAGAACAAAUUAAUUAUAAUUAUUUUAUAAUUAAAUACAAAAAUUUCUUUUAAUUGAUAACCAAAAAUAUAAAAAUUAUCAUAAUAAUUUUCUUCAUAGUAUUUUUAAUAUCAUUAAUAAAUGAAUUAAAUAUUAAAAAAUUGUACAUAUAUCAUAAUUUAUUUUAUAUCAUUUAAUACAAUUGAAUUAAAUGACUCAUAAUUUUAAUAUUAAUAUAUAUUUUAAAAUUAGACAUAUUAUAAUAAUAUUAUUAUAAAAUAAUAUUUGAUGUAAUUUAAUAAUAAAUGUACACUUAUAAAAUUCAUAUAUUUUAUCGAUGCAUAUGAUAUUAUUAUCAAAUAUGAUAAAUCAUAUUAUACAUAUAUCGGAUAGAAAGAUUAUUCUUAUUCCUUUUUUUUUACCACCCUACGAGUGAGCUGUUUAGAGCGGGAAGAUGGGACUAGAAGUGAGUUGUUUUUUGGGCGGCUAGAUGGGACGGAAAGACGGAAAGGCAGCAACAGAGAGCUAGAUUGGGACGUGCAAAAGAAAAAGUUAGGGGGAAAGCAAAAAAAAAAAAAUGAGGGAUAAAAAGAGAAGAAUAAUUGGUUGAGAGGAAAAGUUGUACAUGAGAAAGCAGAAACAUAAAGCUAAAAGAAAAGGGCCUCCAGGUACAUUUGUUGUGAUUUUCCAUGUUUUUUCAUACUUCUGACCUCAUUUUUCAUCCUCUCAUGUGGUUCCUAAAUAUGGUUGGUUAGUUUGUUGGUGGAUGUGUGCUAAUGCUAUGUUUUUCUCACAUUUUCUCAUGAUUUCCAUCUGAGGAUAAGUCGGUAUUGUUGAGGCCUUGCGUCCCGAUGAUCCACGUAAUUGCUAAGUGGAUGCAUGCUUUCAACCAAGAUAGAUUUCUGGUUCAGUCGUCCCUGCAAAAGAUGUCCGGACAAGGUAUCCAGACACACCCUCCGAUGGUUUUGUCAGCCAUGUCUAGAGAGAUUAAUCAGUUGACCUUUUUCUAGGUAUCGCCAACUUACCUUCCUCCUUGUGUGAAGAUCCUUAUAUAGUGUCAGAAGCUCUGUCUCCCUCUUUAAUGAUGGGAAGACUUUUUGGCUCGUCAUGAUGCCUCUAGGUGGUGGCAGAGUCAUCAUCACCUUAUAGACGACUGUCAAAGAUCGUGGAAGGCGACUUACCAUCAUUCCUGUCCUUUCGCUCUACAGGCGGCGGAACGUGGGCUAUGGCAGGCUGUCGGAAUGAUGUAGUAAGACUUGCUCACCUCAGUCAAUGAUUCGGAUAGGAUAUGUUAUCGUCCGGGCGUGACAUUCGUGAGUGACGUGUGCUUCUUCCUGAGGGAGUCCGGAUAGGGGAGCGCGUCACGUGUCCCUCUUUGGGGAGUCCGGAUGGUGUUGCUCCGGAUAGUGAAGCGCGCCACGUGUCAUCAGGGGGAGGGGUCCCUACAGGUAUAUGGCUUUUAGUUUUUCUUCCCACUGAUCAUGGAGCCCAUAGGUUUCAAAAUGAAAUGGGUCUUCUGUUUAAUGGGUCUCUUGUUAGCAUUUUGGACGGUACUCUCUUUUGGAAUAUUUUCCUUUCCAUGCAACAGGUUAUCUUGAGCAUUUUCUUUGUUCAUUAUCAUUAGUUGUUCUUGCUUCAAAUUGCACUGUUUUGCUUGUGGGAUUUCUAGUUUCUAUGUUCAUGGAGGACCUUUUCUUUUAGCUCUCUGUUUCUGCUCUCCCCGGUACCAGCCUUCCCUCUCAACUGAUUCUUCUCUUUUUUUUUCUCCCUCCUCUUUUUUAUUUUUUUGCUUUCCCCCAAGCUUUUUCUUUUGCAUGUCCCAAUCUAGCUCUCUGUUUAUGCCUUUCCGUCUCAUCUGGCUGCACAAAAAACAGCUCACUUCCAAUCCCAUUUUCCCACUCAAAACAACUCACUUGCGGGGUAGUAAGAAAAAUGAAUAAAAAUAAUCCUUCUAUCAAGGGGGUCUACACAGAUUCUUUAAUAAAACAACUUUAAAAUAUUUAUUAUACUUCUAAUUACAUUUUUUAUGAAGUUUUUCUUAUAUUUUUAUAAAUUUUGAUUAAUUUUACGUCUAUGGAUAUUUUUUUUCAAAAUAUCAACCUAUAUAUCUCUGAUAUAUCCAUAAAAUCGAAGUAUCAAUAUAUCCGUGAUUUUCGAUAUUUUUAUCAUUGGAUGUCACACGUUACUAUUUAGUCAAUUUAUGUUAGGAAAUUGAUAGUAAUUAAGAGAUGUCAGAAGUAGACACGUGUCAUACAUCUUACAUGACGUGAGACAAACUGUUAUUCCUAAACUCACCUAAUGUGAUUUGCAUUUUUUUUUACCCAUCUAAGAUGAGUUAUUCAUCUAAGUUUAUAUUUCUUGGUGAUCCAACCUAAACUUGGACUAGGCUCCACCAUCGUAAAAAUUAAUAAUUGCAAAAUAUUUUAAGUUUGUAUAUCUUAAAUGUUUUAAAGAUGCCAUAAAGUCGUAUAUGAAAGAAAUAAAUUUGUUUUUUUAAUAGAGAUAAAAUUAGAUUUAUUGAAAAAAGAAAUAGGAAGGUGGUAAGGUGGAGGGAUACUAAUUACUAAGUUGUUUACAAUUUUUUUUUCAUUGCUUGAUAAUUAAUCUAAAUUUCCUAAUAUAUAUAUAUAUAUAUAUAUUUUAUUAUAUUAAACAACAUGAGUCUAUAAUAUAUGUUAUACGAAAUACAUAAAAUAAUGUUGAGAUGUAGUUCCUCCUAUGAUUAUAUACUAUUUGAAUGGCGUGAUGGGUCAAAGUUGGGACUCCGAAUCUGGAGCUUUGACCCAAAAUAAUGCUUUUUAAAAAAAAAUUCCAAAAAAUAAAGUGGUUUUGAAAAUAAUGCCCGAUCUAAUGCGUCUGUGCCACAUAAGCCGCCACGUCAUAAAACCGUAGUUGGUGACUACGGUUUUAUUUUUUUAAAGUGUUUAGAAACCGUAGUUACCAACCACGGUUUUAACUUUUAAGUUUAAAGCCGUAGUUGGUGACUACGGCUUUGAUUUUUUUUUAAAAUGGUCAAAGCCGCAGUAAAGGACUACGGCUUUGACCAGUCAAAGCCGUAGUCACCAAAUGCGGUUUUNNNNNNNNNNNNNNNNNNNNNNNNNNNNNNNNNNNNNNNNNNNNNNNNNNNNNNNNNNNNNNNNNNNNNNNNNNNNNNNNNNNNNNNNNNNNNNNNNNNNUUUUUUAAAAGUGUUUAGAAACCGUAGUUACCAAUCACGGUUUUAACUUUUAAGUUUAAAGCCGUAGUUGGUGACUACGGCUUUGAUUUUUUUUUAAAAUGGUCAAAGCCGCAGUUGGUGACUACGGCUUUGACCAGUCAAAGCCGUAGUCACCAACUGCGGUUUUAACUUUAUAUAUAUUUAUAUAUAACUUUAAUUUUUUUAAUAAAAAUAUUAUAUUAUUUUGAUUUUAAAUAUAUUUAUUUCAUUAUUUUAAAAAUUAUAAUAUACGAAAUUAAAUAAUUUAUAUUUUUAAUUUGAUAUAAAAAUAUAUUUUUGAAUUUUAUUAAAAUAAUAGGCACUAUAUUUAAUAUAAAUAUAAUUAAUUAAUUAAUUAAAAUAAAAUAUAAUAAAAGUAAUAUAAAUUAUUAUAUUAAUUAAUAAUUUUUUUUAUAUAUUUUAAAAAAAUUAUUAAUUAAUAUAAUAAUUUAUAUUAUUUUUUUCUCCAAAUAGGCAUUUAUAAUUUAUUUAUUUUAAAUAAACAUAAUUUAUUAUAUUUUAUUUAUAUUUAAUUUUAAUUAAAUAAUUAUAUUUAUAUUAAAUAUAGUGUCAAAUGUUUUAAUAAAAUUUAUUUAUAUAUUUAAAUAAAAAUGUGAUAAAUUUUAAACUUAAAUUAGACUUUUAUAUGUGUGUGUGUGAGAGGUAUUAUAUACCACUUAUAUAUAAUAUAUAAAAAAUUAUUAAUUAAUAUAAUAAUUUAUAUUACUUUUUUAUUUUUUUAAAUAGGCAUUUAUAAUUUAUUUAUUUUAAAUAAAUAUAAUUUAUUAUAUUUUAUUUUAAUUAAUUAAUUAUAUUUAUAUUAAAUAUAGUGCCUAUUAUUUUAAUAAAAUUCAAAAAUAUAUUUUUAUAUCAAAUUAAAAAUAUCAAUUAUUUAAUUUCGUAUAUUAUAAUUUUUAAAAUAAUGAAAUAAGUAUAUUUAAAAUCAAAAUAAUAUAAUAUUUUUAUUAAAAAAAUUAAAGUUUAUAUAAAUAUAUANNNNNNNNNNNNNNNNNNNNNNNNNNNNNNNNNNNNNNNNNNNNNNNNNNNNNNNNNNNNNNNNNNNNNNNNNNNNNNNNNNNNNNNNNNNNNNNNNNNNUUUUAAAAAAAAGUCAAAGCCGUAGUCACCAACUACGGCUUUAAACUUAAAAGUUAAAACCGUGGUUGGUAACUACGGUUUCUAAACACUUUAGAAAAAUAAAACCGUAGUCACCAACUACGGUUUUAUGACGUGGCGGCUUAUGUGGCACAAACGCAUUAGAUCGGACAUUAUUUUCAAAACCAUUUUAUUUUUUGGAAUUUUUUUUUAAAAAGCAUUAUUUUGGGUCAAAGCUCCCGAAUCUGACCAAGAAAGAUUCCGUUGGGCUGCUUCUAGUUCUAUGUUCUGCCUCCAACUAUCAUUGCAUCUCAUCCUAUUCACGCUCGAAGCCAAUAUGCUUCUGCCUCGCCCUCUUCCUCCAGCCAAACCCAACCCAUCAACAACAACGAGGCAUCUUCAACUCCCAACUCUCACCAUUCCCCACAAUCGAACUAACAAGCUCAUCGGUGUUAACCCCAUCUCUACCCCCAAAUCCAGCCACCGAUUAACCCUCAUUACAGGGUGUACCAGGGACCACAAUGAUAUCCCAAUUUCUGUUACUUAUGGUGAUCAUGCCGCCGCUCCCCACGAGCCUCCACCAGUCCACCGACAAACCCAAGGGAAGAACUUCUGGGGUGCUGUUAGUUUGAUUAUUGGCACUGCCGUCGGCCCUGGAAUGCUGGGUUUGCCCGCCGCAACCAUAAGAUCCGGUCCACUUCCAUCAACCAUUUCCAUCCUCCUCUCCUGGGUCUAUGUUAUCUCCUCUAUAAUCCUUGUUGCAGAGCUCAGCUUUGCUGCCAUGGAAGAAGACGGGGUUGCAGAAGUGAGCUUCACUGGUCUCGCUACUAAGACUCUGGGAAAUCGUUUCGGCGCUUUCGUCGCUCUAGUCUACGCCUCCCUCAGUUUUUCUUUAUUGGUUGCCUGUGUGUCGGGCAUUGGAUCUAUUGUCUCUCAGUGGUUUCCAUGGUUGAAUACUAUAAUCGCUCAUGCCUUGUUUCCUUUCGCCUUCGGAACUGUAAUCUGCUUCUUUCCCUUCAAGGUCAUUGAUGCUGCCAACAGGGGUCUAUGCGUUCUCAUGCUUUUCUCCAUAUCUGCGCUUGUGGGCAUUGGUUUAUCUAUAGCGAGAAAUAGCAUAAUGGGUUCCUUUUCUCGCGCCUCAUGGGGCCUUUCCUCCGUCUUGCCUGCCAUACCCGUCACUGUACUCACAUUAGGUUUCCAUGUUAUAACCCCUUUUGUUUGCAAGAUUGCUGGCGACACUAUAUCUGAGGUUCGUCAAGCAAUACUGAUCGGUGGAGCUGUUCCAUUAUUAAUGGUUUUAUCCUGGAAUUUGAUUGUUUUGGGACUUGCGGGAACUAACCCACCCACCUCCGGAGAACCCAUCUCUCUCUUGCUUUCUGUUCAUUCCUCUGCUUUAUCUGCAGUUCAAGGUUUUGCGUUUUCAGCAUUGGCAACUAGCUUGAUUGGGUAUGCUGUUAGCUUCCCCAAACAACUUGUGGAUACCAUAGAGUUGAUUUUUGGGACAACUUUUUCUGAUCAACAAUCUUGCUCUCAACCUCAAGUGGGUUGUUAUCAGGAAGGAAUUGGAAGGGUUGGGUUUGCUAUUUAUUCCAGUGCCUGUGAUCUUGGAAAUGUGGGGAAGGUUUCAUUUUUUGGAUCAAGGUGUAAUCCUCGUUCAGAGUCUAAAAUGAUGUCAAGAGGGGUCAAUUUUAAUUCAUUAAACAUCCUUGUAAUACCACUUGUUCUUGGUGUUCCAGUUCUCUUAGCCUCUUUUUUUCACUCGACCUUCUCUAGAGCUCUUGAUUUUGCUGGGGUUUAUGCAAACUGCUUUCUGUUUGGCAUUCUUCCUCCAGUAAUGACAUACAUUUACCAAUCCAGGAAGAUAUCCAGGUAUUGUCAAAACUCCCUAGUUUGAUCAUUGUUUACUAAUUUAUAUUUAUCUAACAACUUCCUGCAUGGAUAGAGGAAAGUAAAAUGAACCACAAUCUAAGUUUUUUUUUUUCUUAAAGAUUCUUCUCAUUUUGUCAAAAUCUACUAAUCUUUAUGAAUAUGACAUAGACUACAUUCUAUGGUCAAGACAAAUUUUCUCUGGUUGAUCCAUUUUGAACCCACUUCAACAAAUAUAUUUGAAAUGUGACAUUUCAAAAGGCCUUGGAUUCCAGAUUAAUUGCUAUCAAGUUAAUGUUUGAGAUUUCUUAGAAUACUUAUCUUUCCGGAAUUUAUGCGGUCCUCUGCACAUUGAAUAAUCUUUAUCUAAUCAAUCAAAUAUUAAGCACCAUUUGAUGCUCAAUGGAUGCAAUUACCCUCCCAAAAGAAUUUUGCUCAAUGGAUGUCUUGUCCAACACCCACAGGAUGAUGGGCUUUCCAGCUUAACCUUAUUGGGUUAUUUGGUUAAAGGGGUCAACUUAUCCCCCAUAUUUGCAAGAAUAACCCAUCAACCUUAGUCUGCUUGAAGGAAAUAGUCUGAAAGUCAUGCUCGGAUUUUGCAGGUUGUCCAUCCUUCCAGGUGGAGAUUUUGCACUUCUGCUUCUCUUUGGCAUAGCUGUGGUAUUGGGCAUUUGGCAUUAGAUGGUCAGCAGCAAGAUCUAACUGUAAAACAGGAUCCUUUCAACAGGCUAAAGCUAACAGUCAUGAUAGUUUUCAUUAUGAGCUGAAUCUGAUCUUGUUAUGCCUUAAUUAUUGGAUAAACUGCAUCUUUUGAAUUUCCAAGAUCAUUAAAGGUCAAAAUUCAUCUUAAAGUCCUUUUAAGGUCGCAUUUGGAUUUAGAAUUUCAAAGGCGAAGAUUAGGGUUGAAAGUAAUGUUAGAAUAAUCUCAGAAGUAAUAAUCGUGUAUGGUGCAAUUGUUAAUGCUUAUCCGACUUACCUGCAUAUGUCAAGCUGUCCUACUGGUUGGCCGUAGGUGCGGGGUUGGGCUCUAAAUAUUGGUUUAAAUGUCUAUUCAUUUCCCUUGUGCUCUGUUUUAUUGAGAAGCUGGAUGUAAGAAAAGGAACUUUGAAUCUUGCAGGUUGGCAAUAUGAAGAUUAUCCAGUGAAUUACGUAAUGAAGUUUUAUACGCAAUAGACUAAACAUCAGGAAUAAAGGGCACAAAUGGAUUCAAUGCUAAAAGCGAUGUGGCUAGAAGGAGAUAUCUGUAGUGAAAAGAGAAUGCCAGAUUUCUUUGAGACAAAACAGUCGGUGAAAUGGGAUUUGUUUACUUCUCUAGGCCAUAAGUCAUUUAGUAUCAUCUGGCUUCAAUGGGUAUGUGAUGAAGAAGCCCUGGACUCUUCUGGCUGCAUAAGUGGCCCAAUGUCUAUUAAAUUGUUCACUGUUUGGGCAGCUAUACUAGUUCAGUCACUCCUUUCUAUUCUAUGUUUGAUGGGGUGGAGUAUUGCUCUUCUUUCCUGAUGCUCUGCGCAUUAUCCUGUCAAUCCAGUGUCCCCACACCCACGAGCGAAUUACACCAGGACCCACAUCCACUGGAGGGUCAAAUAACUUUAUCUUGACUGACUUCUUCAUCUACUGGCUAACAGGUCUAUAAAGAUGGGAUUUUCUAAAAACUACACUGAUUCUCAUAAACUACUUCUUUUGCCUUCUGAGAGAUUCCAAAGUCGGCCCCAAUGGUCACUUCUAGUCUUCAAGUUAAGGCAUCGCCCAUUGACAUCCAUUGGAGCACCGCCCCAAUGAACUCCUGGACUGUACUUGCCUCUAGAAACCACCCAGUCAUGAUCAUCAAAAUGGAUGAAGGAUAACCAGUUUGAAAACUGUUCAUGACUGAUUGACAAUCUAUGGAUGUUGACCAUGGGCAAGGGAAUGCCAUUCCCUUAUGGAAACCAGCAGGAAGUUUCAUCAUUAUAUUCAGAGGUGUGACCGUAUGAAUACGCGUACCAACCUAUUCCUCCAAACCCAUGUUUAAUCAUUCUUUUUUGUAUUUUUAUAAAAUUGUAACUGGGAUUGUAGUCAAGAAAGAACAACGACCCAAAACUACGAGCUAAAGAAUAAUGCUCUAGAAUAUCCUAAAUCAACUAGCCCACACCCAAAUUGUUCACAUCUACAUCUCAUCUGUAUGAAUCAAAAUAGUAUAUUUGGUGGUUGUGUCAAUCCGUUUUAUUUGGCGGUUGGGUUGAAAAGGGGAAAGGGGAUUACCAAAUCAAACCACCCCAAACAGAAAAAAGUCAAUUCAAUUGACUUUUAAUCAAUCAAAACCCGGUUUUCUUUUUUAAAAAAAGGGGGAAUUAUCUGCUUCGAUGUUAGCAUGUGCGUGACCCGACCCUCGGCUUGAGUCUUUUCUUUCAGUGUGUUGAAUUGUCCCAUCUGUCUCAGCCCAUGAAACAGUGGUGGGGAUGCUGAAUCAGAAUACUGCUGCUUUUACUCUUCUCCUCUUUUAAGUCAUACACUGUUGCAAUUAAUUAAUUAAUUAGUAUCGAAAAUGAGGUGAUGUGAUUUUCAAGUCGUAUGGUUGUGAAUCAGAUUAUAGAUAAAAUCGGUGGUGGGGAGGCCAGGCGCGUGCCCAUCGUCAUGUUACGUCAUCACGAAUGCUGCCUGCACACCAAAGUCAACAUCUGGAGGAGUUAGGCUAACUCUUCCUUUCCCCGGAACGUUGAUGGGGCGUGGCCCCACACGCUCCUCUUUUUUAACUCGGCCUUUAACUUCAUUUUUGCGUAUUUUAUAAUCCUGAUUCCCGAGUUGAAUCCGUAUCUUGCGUUCUCGCUGGAUUAAAUUUAAUACCGGGGAAUGAAUGAGGUGGCAUAAUCCGAGUCGUUUCCAGCUCAGCUUCGCUGAUGACCACAUGGAACCGACUUGAUCGGGCCCCUCAGUAACCACUGGGGGUGACUAAAAUUCCAUUCAAUCUGCAAUCUCUCUGAAAGCGGGGCUGGGCUUUGGAGUUGAAGUUUGAGUUGCCAGCGCGCACCUUUUCUCAGUCGGCGCCUCAUGUUUACUUUUUUAUUUUUUUUUGAAAAAUUUUCCCAUAUGCACGUGGGGAUUCCCUUUCUCCCACACCCCAACUGGAUUUCCUGCAAAAUAAAAGAUGGGUAAGCUUGAUUUUGUGGAAAUAUGAAAAAAAAAAUACAAUAUACUGGACAAAAAAUUCAAAAAGUUGUAAGAGAUUAAUAUAAAUAUGAAUGUAUGUUUGGGAGUAUGUCUAAUUUGACAGAACCCUCCAAGUGGCUUCUUCCAGUCAUGGAUCCAUGUUCCUGGAAAGGGACAAGAUAUUACAAGGAGAAAGCUUAGGAAAAUAUGGAGGAUAAUGGGAGUGAAGCUGGGGAGGAGGAUGAGGAUGGGGCUGGGGCUUAAGCCAGGAGUGCGCCACUUCGAAAUGGAUGGAUUUGACAUUUUCCCAAAGCAUUAAAGGGGGGAGUGUUGUUGGUUAGGGAUGAGGGAUGAGGGAUGAAGGGGGAUUAAAGACGAAAUCCAAAUUCCAAAGUCGUAUUUUUAAUGUGAAAGGGAGCUGGAAACAUGGGUCCCAGACCAGCCCCAACAUAGAAACCACCUUGUACCAUUUCCCUUUUCAAAGAGGUAGAUAAAGCUAAUUAAGAAAAUACACAAAAAGGACAAGAGGAAAACCAUAAAAAAAAAUGAUAUUGUAAGGCUUCUCGGAGAAGUGCCGUGCAGCGCAAGGAUCUUAUGACUUGUGAGCUGCGGGCGAAGCUCCUCUAUUUAAGCUCCUUUUCUUUCCUUUCUUCUACUUUCUUAACUGCUCUCUUUGAAAACUCCUUCAAUACAGGCUCUUCUCUCCCUUGCUUUCUGCUAUUGUUGUUUGUGCGUAUUUGGUUUGGAAUAUUACUUCUUUUCUGUAUUCUACAUUCGCUUAGAGCUUUAUUUUUUUUUUUAAAGGUAAUAAUUGAUAUACAGUAGUGGUGUAACCAUGGAAGAGGCUUCACUUGCCGAUCAAGGUGAUGACCUUAUGGAUUUGCCCCCAGGUUUUAGAUUCCACCCUACAGAUGAAGAGAUCAUAUCUUAUUAUCUCACGGAGAGGGUGAUGAAUAGUAGCUUCAGUGCAAGAGCUAUUGGAGAAGUUGACCUUAACAAGUGUGAACCCUGGGAUUUACCUAGUAAUCUCUCUCUCUAUCUUUCUCUGUGAGUUCUUUGGUUUUUUGGAUUUGGUAUUUGGGGCGUUAUUUCUAAUCUUUUAUUGGACUUGAUUGUACAGAGAAAGCAAAGAUGGGAGAGAAGGAAUGGUAUUUCUUUUGCCAGAGAGAUAGGAAGUAUCCUACAGGCAUGAGAACGAAUCGAGCUACCGAAUCUGGAUACUGGAAGGCCACUGGAAAGGAUAAAGAGAUUUACAAGGGGAAGGGUUGUCUUGUUGGGAUGAAGAAGACCCUUGUUUUCUACCGAGGGAGAGCCCCCAAAGGAGAGAAAAGCAAUUGGGUCAUGCACGAAUACAGACUGGAAGGCAAAUUCUCAUAUUACAACCUCCCCAAAGCCGCAAAGGUACAUAUAUAUAUGCCCUAUAAUAUCCCUUUUUCUCUUUUGAGUUUUUGUUCCAACCCAACCCCAUGUCUCUGUGCCUUUUCAAUGAUCAUCAUCAUCAUCUUUUUCGCUAAUGGGUUAGCUUUGGUAGUAUUUUUUUGUUUUCUCGUGAAUAGCGAGGGAUAUUCAAUAUUCAUGUGGAGUAUUUGGAAAUUUUGUUGCAGGAUGAAUGGGUCGUCUGUAGGGUAUUCCACAAGAGCGCGGGGAUCAAACGAAGUCUUAUUCCUGCGCCGAUAAGGAUGAACUCUUUUGGGGAUGAUCUCUUGGACUGUUCUUCUCUACCACCUCUUAUUGACCCUCCUUAUUCCAACCCCAACAAAAAUGAUUCCUGCUUUACAAAUGGUGAAGAUGAAUUCAAGGGAUCAUCAACCAGAUUUUCAGAUGGAAACCACCACUACCCUUACUUCUCCCCCACCAUAAACGGUCAUCAACUGCAAAAGCAACAAGAUCAGAAGAGCUUUCUUCUAUCCCCCAAUAACGUGCACACCACCUCCAACUACCAAGCCACCCUAAGCAACCCUACACCAAACUCCAUUUUCUACCCCCAAGUUUCUCCCUCGAAUCCUCUUUUCCCCUUCCAAGCAUCCCCAACUCCUAGUUAUUCACACUGGCAGAUGGGUAGUUCAUUUCCAAGCUUUCCGGGCUCUGGCUUCAAAGGUAGUGAUCCGACCAGUACCGUAAGAGCCCAGACAUCUGGCGUACAGAGGCAAUGCAAGGUGGAGCAGUUCUCAUCCAACCAGUCUAUGGUCAGCCUCUCGCAGGACACCGGACUCAGCACUGACAUGAACACGGAGAUAUCCUCUGUGCUUUCAAAGCAUCAAGACACAGGAAACAACAGGUCUUACGAAGAUCUUCAAGGUCCAUCGGUCGGCCAAAUCGGAGAUUUGGAUUAUUUACUCGACUACUGAAGAUACAAGAAGAAGCAGCCUGCGAGACGAUCUUCUCCAACUGGUUAAUCAAUUAGUCCAAAAGAUGAAAGGUUCUAGGGUUUCAAAUAUACUGUAUAGUCGAUUUCUUCAUGUCUAGAGCGUUUCAAAUUACAUUUUCAUGAAUAGAUACCAAAGGAAAAGAAAUUAACAUAACUCCACGAUCUCAUGUACAUCUUUUUUUUUUUUUUUCUUUACAAUAUUUAUAAUUAGUAACUCCAUUUCUUAUUAAUUCAAGUUUUUGUUAUGUUAAAUUUAAUAAUUCAUUAUUGUAUGAGUCAGAUUUAAUUCUUGUCAACUUCAUAAUCAUUCAAAUGGUGAGCUGUUUGAAACCCAAAUGAUUCCAUUGCUGUGCUGGUAAUUAAAAAGCAUGGACCAAUGGUCCAGUGGCUGUAUGAAAGGUGGGGAGAGAGGAAACGAGAGAGAGAGAGAGAGAGAGAGGGAGUUGUUGGGUUAUAAAAGUAAGAGAAAGGCGUAGGUGGCGGAGGAGGAGAUCGGUUACAGCAAGAGAAGAGAAGGUUCAUGUGAUUUGCUUCCGCCAUUAACUUACUUUCUAUUCAAAGCAAAGCGUCCGUUGGUCGCAUACUUGCAAGGAAGAGAACCGCCCAUUUUUUUUUUUCAUUGUUUUAGACUUUAGAAUAGCAAGUAUUCUGUUCGAAGCAAAUUAAUCUACUUCUCAAUCAACUAAAAACCCUGAUUUCUUGCAUUAAAACAUGGGCGCCAACGACUAACUCCCACAUUAGCACAUUGCUGUCCCAGAAUCAACGCGUAUAUAUCUAUAUUUAUAUAUUUAUAUAUACAAUCAUCUUUCAGUUUACUUCUCAUCAACUUAUUUGUACCUAUUCUAAAUUUCUCUUCUAGAACAAUUUUCUAAUCAACCUGGGAUUUUUCAGUACUUUUUUUUUUUUCUUAUUUCUUAUUCAAUCUUGAAAGGGGGAAAAUAUUUGAUUUUGUUUUUGAAGUUAAUUUUAUAAUAAAGUAUUUUGAAAAUAAAGAAAUUAAAAAUUUUAAAAAAUCAUCGUCACAUAAGUGAAAAUCAUUAUCACAUAUGUUUCAAGCAUGCGUGGCCUACAUUUGCUUUCCACCUAACAAAACCAUGCCAAUCACAACAUUAUUGUACUUUUGUCACUCCAAAAAUUAGAAAUUUUGGAUCAACAUGGGUGGGUUUGGGUAGCGUAAACAAAAUUUGACGUGGUUCACCAACACAUUCCAAUUCAUCACAUUUUUCGCAUAUUUGGAUUGAGUAUAAUCAAUGAUGAAAAUAUCGGUAAUCACGAAUAUUCCAAAGAUAUAUCGAUCGAUAUUUUGACACAAAAUAUCGAUAAACUAAAAAUUGAUCAAAACUUAUGAAAAUAUAAGAAAAAAAACUCUUAAAAAAUGAAAUUAGAAGCAUAAUAGACAUUUUAAAAUUGUUUUGUUGAAGAAAUUGAUAUAUGUAUGAUAUGAUUAACGAUAUUAAAUUUAAUUAUAUAGUAUCAGUUGGUAAGAAAUGUGAAUUUUGUAAAUGUGCACUAAUUAUGAAGUUAAAUUAUUGCAAAUAUACUAAUUAUUCGAUUCAAAUAUAUUACUAUGUUAAGCUAAUUCACUUACCUCUAUUGAAAAUAUAUUAAUUAAUUGUAAAAAAGUACUAAUUUAAAUUCAAUGUUAUACUAAUUUAAAAAUGUAUUAAGUUAAUUUAUUCUUAAUAUACUAUUAUUACACUUGAAUAUCAAAAUAAAAUAAAAUAAUUAAUUUAAAACGAAAUUAUUGCAAAUGUACUAAUUAUGUGAUUUAAAUAUAUUUAUGAUUUUUAUUUAAAAAUAUUGGUACAUUUUGAUACAAAAUAUUUUUAUUUAUGAUUUUAUAUUUAUUUAGUAUACAAAAUAAAUUAUAAAAAAAUUAAAAUUAACUUAUUUAUAAUAACUUAAUUUUUCUAUCUCUGAAAUUUCAACGAUUUUUUUCCCAUUUAGGGUCGAUAUUUUGCUUGUAUGGUCGAUAUAUCUAUGAUUAUUGAUAUAUUGUCAAUAUAUCACCGAUAUUUAUCGAUAUUUUCGUCAGAUGUUAUAUCUUACCUAUAUAUUAUAUCCACCUUCUCCGAUACACGAUAUAUCCCAAUAUUAAGUGUAAUUGAGUUUGGUCAAAUUCAUGUCGACCUCUAUAACCCUUUUAAUAAAUAAGUAGUUUUUAGAUACAAAUUUGAUCUGAAUUAACUCAUUUAAUAAUCCUGCUAAUUAAUCUAAUUAUAACUUUAUACUAUUUAACCUUUUCUCAUUAGACCAUAUGUAGAACUCAUAGCCACAACUCUAAUUCGAUUAUUUCCUAAUAAUUGUUGUACUAUACAAGUCAUAUUAAUUUGUUGAUUGAUGGUAUCUUGACCCUUAACUACUAGCGCAUUGUAAAUAUUAGGCAUCGUGAUUGGAGGAAAAGUUACAUUUAGGAUCAGACCAAUGAUUUGAACCAUAUGUCCCAAGUUUUUGUUUUUUUUUUUUUCAAGUGUGGAAACCCUAAGACUAGAAGUAUGGAUCAAUUAAAUUAUAAACAUAUUUAGUUGAGACAUGAAUCACGUAGACUUAUAUCAAACUUAAUUCAACUUAAUUAUUAAAUAGGAGGACAAGAUUUUUCAAUGAGUUAAAUACAUUAUUUCAGGUUUGAUCUCUUUAAUAAUUAGGUAAAAUUUUGAUUUAUAUUUUUAACAUAAUUAUAUUUCGUAUCGAGUUAAGGUUCACCUAUAUAAUAAAAAGCUUAAGUUUUAACAUGACACAAAAAUAACCCAUCAAUACGAAUUGUUGCCCCUAGUUUUGACUCUCAUUCCAUCAUUUGGUUGACAAAUCCCUGAGCUUAAGAACUAUACUAAACAAACAAUACAUAAUAUCACACAAUCAUCUUAAAUUAGAUGGGAUGUCCAAAAUUUAUUUUCUAUAUGUUUAGAAAAUAGUUUUCAUAGAUAAAAAUAAGGACGUAAUUUUUAAAUUUUUGUUGUGGUAACAUGCUUGAUAAUAUAAAUUAAACAAUAGAUUAUGCGUUUAUCAUAAUAAAAUUUUGAUAUAUGAAUUGAAAAUAGUUUAGGAAAUAAUAAAAAUACAAAGUUAUUUGGGUAUUUCCUGAAAUUAACUUCAAUUUAUAAUAUUUUUUUGCCUUUUAGUUAUUUAAUUUGUAACACACCAAUGAUUAGGAAGAUGGUAUUAGAUAAAAUUUUUAUGCUUAGGAGGACUACACUAUAUGUAAGAAUAUAUUGGUGGAGCUAGAAAUUCAAUAGGGGACAAUAUUUGAUAAUAAGAUAUAUUAAUUGCUAGUAUUUUAAUAAUUUGGAAUUAUCAAUUAUACAUAUCUCAUGCAAAAAAUAAAAUAAAAUAACGAAUAUUUUUUACGGGAGAUGCUUUUACUUUAAAAAAAAAAAAUUCAUUUCUCUAAGAAAUUUUUUUUAGAAGUUAUAAAAGUUCAAGUAAUUUAAAAAUUGAAAAAAAUUGAAAAAAAUAAUUGAAAUUUUUAUAUUUAUUUUAAAAUUUUAAAAAUAUAUGUAUAAAAAAUUCAAAAUUAUUACCAACAAAUAAGAAAAAAAAUCUUAUAAAUAAAAAAAUUAAACUGCAUCCUUAAUGAAAUCAGAAGUUGAAUACAUGCCUUUUUAUUUUAAUUUAUACCUUAGAAGAUGUGAUUUUAUUAUUAUUACUAUUAUUUUAUUAUAAAAGAAAAAGCUAUGUCAACUUAUGGGUGUAUAAGAUCGUGACAUUUGAGUGCAGGAACAACUUUUUUCUCUUUCAGGGGAUUGGUUUCCUCCAAAUGGUGAAGCUGGCAUAUUUGCAGUUGAGGCUCAACUUUUUUUUUUUCUCUCUUCCCUUCUUUCUAUUUUUCCUUUCCCUUUUUUUUUUUCUGCAUUUAAUUAUAAUUUAAACAGAUCAAGCACCCACCAAUGGAGACUUGUUCAUAUCCUUCUAAACUGGAAGAAAAGUAGUCUGAUAGGCAUGAGCUUGUUUGAAACCUUCUCAUCAUAUAUGUUCAGUCUUUCUCUUUUCCUGUAUCUUUCCAUUUUGUGAAAAGUUCUUCCACAACUGUAAGCUGACUGUUUCAGGUCUGCAGCAUGAUUUACUGUUGAUGGGUGGAGGAGAAGCCAACACAGAAUCCCCACCAGAGAAAUGGUGGAUAUGAUUUAGCUUAAUGCUCUUGGUGGGUUGCUGUUGAAGGAUGGAAAUGGUUGUUGUAUACUAAUAACAGUCAAGAGGCCACCCGGGAGGACUCAGUCUUCAUGAUGUCACUUAAAUUUGCAGAAGUAGUAGGGUAUCAAGAUUCAACAUCAAACUGAAUAUAUAUUGGAGGAUAUAGAAAGUGAUCAAGAUAAAGCAACAGGACAUGUCUGUAUAGAGCAACAACAUGAUUUUCACACAUACUGAUCAUGAAAACAGAAAUUAUACAUGAAGAUAACAACCCACAUUUCUUCCCUCAGUCCAUAUUUAUGCAAACACAGGCAUCUAGAUACGGUGACUCCAUCACAAGAAUAUCCUGCAUUUAACAUUCACACAAGGAAAGAUUUAGAGACAGUGGAAUAGAUUGUGUCAGUUGAGAGGGAAAGGGGUUUUCAACUUCUCAAACUAUGGUGAUAAUCAAGGUCUGUUUUUAUUUAAUUCUUUUUAAAUUUCUAUUUUUCUAGGCUGUCUGAUUUGGGAGAGACUAUGAAAGAUCUGAUAUGUUUGGAGAAUAUUAAGAGACAAAACUAAAACCCCCUUCAUAUAUUAGAAGACUUACAGUAGAGGCUGAUUUUCCAUAGCUGGUUAUCUCCUUUCUUCCACUUGUUGAGCACAAUAGUAGUACAGUCAUGGACACUUCCAUGGCUCCUAUCCCCAUGUAAAGCAUCAACAUUCAAGUGAAUGUUAUUGAUCAUCCUGAUACUUCUGAAAUUAUCUCCCAAGUCCUUGCUUUCAGUCCAUAGAACAGACUCAUCAAGGACAUCUGGAUUGUAAGGGAUCAGCUGCACCUGCAGAAGAAUUUUAUAGGACAAGUUCAAAAUCCAAUAUAUUCAUGAUUCCAGCAAUGCCAGAUAAAGAGAGGAAAGCAAUAGCAAAGGGGCACCAAGCGGACGCUUACUCACAAGCUCCCAUACUUCAGUUUCCCCAAGUUGCUAAUCACAAUGCACAGGAUGAAAACUCUUGCUAAUCAAUUAUGAUGGCCUAGAAGACUCAUAUAGUUCUUAGUAAGUGUUUCAGAGGGUAUUAGAAUCUAGAUUGAAACUCAGUGCUCAAAACCCCCCCUGUUUAACACAAAAGACAUUACAAAGCAAGAGAGUCUGCAUUUUAGCUAUGACUUUUGAAAGUUGAUUUUGGUUAUAAUUUUGCAAAACAUACUUCUGUGACUACAACUAAUCAUCUUCCAAGGUGCAGGUUGUAAAAGCUAUCUCUAUUUGUAGUCCUAUUCCUAUUCUUAUUCCUGAUAUAUUUGACAUUCUAUGAAGUAAAAUCACAGCAAGAGUAGAGCCACAUGUGGUGAAGAACAUCUACAAUUUCUAAAAUGAAGAACCCCAUCUGAACCAGGAUAAACAAAGUAUAUUAGUUGGGGAUGAUGCUGCUUACUAUCAAAACAAACAGAUAACCAAAACAAAAUUGGAAAAAUUGAUAGUUACUAAACCCAAAUCUGGAUCAUUUACCCUGGCCCCUCCAUACUACAGUCCCUGCAGCUGCACUUAGUCCAACGAAUAACAUAGGAGUCUAGUAAAUGCAAAAAGAAAAUAAAUAAAAAAUGCAACUUCUACAUCAGGGGAAGGAAUCAGGAGAAACAAACAAGAGGAAGAUCAGCAAUUAUGGCAGCAAAGGAAGUAGACUUACAGGAUGAGAAGCCCCAAUUGAAUGUUUCAUUGCCUGACCGGUGGCUUUAUUAACCAAAGCAAAGCUUGGAAAUCCCUCUUCGUCCUUCACACUCGUGCUGUAUUUCUCAUCUUUGAUCCAGUGCUGCAACAACCAACCAGGUACAGAAGAAACAGAGAGAUGUGAGCGAAUUCAAGGCAUGUAAAAGAUGAAGCAGAUAAUUCAAGGAAAAUCUUCAUGGGGAUUGAUUUUUAAGUACUUGGAGCAUGUCGGUUUUGUUGGAUGGCGCCAGAUAGACCUUCCCAUCUAGGAUGGUAAGGGAGUGAUUAGGCUUGGCCUUGCAGAAAACCCUCACAGUGGGUUUAUUGGACAGGUUAGAACCCACCCCGUGGGCUUCGUUGUGAUGAUGAAGGAAACCUGGCAAAUGAUGAAGAUGAUGGGUUUCAACCUGUUCAGUACCCUGAGGCUGCUGAGGGUUCAAAUGGUGAGAGACAUGCCGGACAGGAGCAGAGGCGGAAUAGGAAACAGGCGGCGGUCGAGCAUAAGGAGGCCCUUCGUGCGUGUAAUUUUCGCGGCCAAAGCCUUGAUCUUCUACAUGUGAAAUAUGAUGCACGUGCGAUGAAGGCGGUGGUCGCGGUGGAUCAGCAUGGGAAAUGUGAUGCACUUGUGCCCGCGGCGGUGGUGGUUCAUCUUCUCCAUAAAAAUAUGCUGGCGGUGGUGGUUCAUCUUCUCCAUGAAAAUAUGCUGGCGGUGGUGGCGGAGGAUGAAUAAGAGGCGGUGGGGGUGGGGGCUGCAGGUACUCUUCUUCUUCGCCUGCGCCAUAUUCAGGCCUGUGAUGAUGGGUGUGAUGGUGAUGCCCAAAUGGGAAUUCCAUCGUUCCCAAAUCUGAGUUAGGUCUAAAAGGGGAGAUUCAUGUUUUAUGAUUAAUAUUGAUCGCUCGUUUGGAUUUUGGAAUGGCUUGUUUUUCACUCAACUUAAAGUUGAAGUUGGAAUCCCCGAAAAAUCAUCCCUAAAAGCACAUUAAAAUUUAGAAAGGGAACCUUCUUUGGAAUCAUUUCAAAAUGAAAGAAAUUGAUUUUGAAACGUCUAGGUAAGUCCGGUCUUUCCUCGAAAUUUCGAUUUAGUGAAAUCUUAUCUCUAAUCCAUUAUAAAUUUAUACUACUCACCUUACAAAACAAAAAAUGUUUUAUUAAAAUAUUUAAACUUUUAGUUCCUUAGAUAAUAAAAAUGAAUUGUGUUUGUAUGUAUUUAAUAAUAUUGUAAUAUCUCACAUUAGAUUAGGUAGAAAGUUACUGAAUUUAUGUAUUAAUGAACAUUUGUUAAUCUUAUAGACACUGUUUUAAAAUCGAGAUAGUCUAUUUGGGUUUAGAGUGGACAAUACUUAUAGAAUUAGGUGGUUUGAUCUCAUAAUUGUAUGAGAUAUAACGAGGAUAUCGUGUCUAUAUAAGGUAUUUGUGAAACCUUUUAAAGUCGGGACUAACAAGGAUGUUAUGUCUUAAUAAGGGUAUUUGUGCAACCUUUUAAAGUCGUACGAUUGAGUGUAAUAGUGUUUAUUAAUUAUGAUAAAAUUACUUAUUAAAGUAUAAAUGGUAGAAUAUAAGAGAAAUUUAAUACUUUUAAUAAUAAAUAUGAUAUAUUUCCAUUAUUUAUUCAUAUGGCAUGUUUGGAUAUGGUAUCCAAACAACCAGCUUUGGCCGUACAAUCCAAAUAGUGAUAUGUUUGGGUGAAAAUUUCUAAAUCAUUAAUUUGAAAUUUUCUUAAACACCAUUCUUAUUCAAAGAUAGAAGUGAAUUAAUAAUAUGUUUGAAAAAAUAAUUUAAUAUUUUAAUUGAAAAAAUAAUUUAAAAUUAUUUGAUUACUCCUGUUCCCUUUUUUUUGGCAACUUUGUUACUAAAUAUCUAUAAAACAAAAUCUAUAAAUUUAGUAGUUUAUAAUAAAUUUUAAAUUAGAAUUUUUCAACCAUUGUCUAAAUCAGUUUAUAAUAUUUUAGUUAAAAAUAAAAUACUAAAUUAUAAAUUGAUAACUUAAAUAUAAUUUAAUUUAAAGUGUAUUUAAUAGUAAUUUUAUGAAGUGUCUUUAGUCUUUCUAAUACUUUAAAAGGUAUAAAUUUUAAAAUAUUAAAAAAAUUAAAAACAUUUCCUAAAAUCACUACAAAACAUGCUCUUAAAAUCAUUUAAACUACUCAUGAAAGAAAAAUAAAAUAUUAGGAAAUUUUAAUUUUUAUAUUUGAUUUAUAAAAUCAAAUAUAAUUAAAAUUAAUAAAAAUUAAAUUUUUUUUUCUAAUUUUUUCUUGAAGCAAAUAUAAGAAUGAACACACUAAAUAUUAGAAUAUGAUUUAACAAUUUUUUUACUUGAAGUGUUUUUAGUAUAAGUAUUUUAUUUGAAAGUAUUUUUUUUUAAAUAUUUUUAGGAAAGUCACCUAAAAGUAUUUCUCUAGAAAACACUACAAUCGAUUUUUCAAAAUUUUAAAAAUAUUUCCUAAUUUUUAAAAAAUACUUUUUAGGCUAAAAAUACUUCUUAAAUUCACUGUCUAAUGAAUUCUUAAAAUGAGUUUGUUAGCCCAAGGGUUCUCCUAAUCAGAUUUUGAUGAUAACAAAUCAUAGUUAAGUUACUAUUUGGUUUGAAUUAUAAAAAAUUUCAGGUGUUAAUUUGAAAAUUCAUCAAAUGACCUAAUGAAUGCAAGAUCAAGACAUUUGGAAGACUCUUUAAUCAUAGGAAACAUAUGUAAGAUGAAUGCAUGGGUACACUUAGGUUUUACAUAUCAUUUCAUGCAUAUUUGAAAAACUCGGUUUAUUCUUUAAAGUUAGAGUUUCAUCAAAACCCGAGUUUUAUCAAAUGAACUUUCUUAGGUGUUUUUCUCAUUUAAGAUUAACCUUUAUUUUCUCGAAGUUUAACAAUGUUUUUAUUCCAAGUGUUUGUAAUUGAAGUUUUUUUUUUUGAAGUAUUUUUAAAAGAAUAACCUCUCAAUAGUUUUUUUCGAAAACUAUAAGUGGUUUUUUAAUCAUACAAAUGAUUUUUUAGAUUUUUAAAAAUAUUUUCUAACUUUUAUCAAACAUCUAAUUCAUUUUUUAAAACGCUUUUUAAACUAAAAACACUUAAAACGCUCUUAAGAUCUAUUUGGUAACUGUUUUCAAAAAUAAUUUUGAAAAAUCAUUUUUAAGAAUAGUUUUUGAAAACUAUUUUAUGAUUUUUUUUUUAAUUUUUUAACCUAUUUUUAAUAUUUUUAAAUAUGUUUUAAAAAUAAUUUUUUAUAUCUAAAGUUCUAUUUUUAAUCAUUCUAUAUAUUUGUAUAAUUAUUUUUUUUAAAUAAUAUUUAAAAGAAAAACAAGUAAAAACAACAUAAAACAAUUGAAAAAUGUUGUUUAAAAACAAUACAAAAACAACUUUUGAUUGUUAAACAUAUUUUGCUAUUUUUUUUCUAGAAAAUAGAAAACUAUUUUCAAAAGCUAUCAAACAUACCCUUAAUAAGUAGAUUUUAUCAAACACUAAUUAAAUUUUAACAUGAAACCGAAAAUACAUCAAAAUUACCCUAAUCAAGAGAAACAACCUGAGGGCAACAACAUGAUAUUGUUGAUAUUUACAAGCAUAUGAAGGCACUUUUCCCCAAGUCCAUAUAUGCAAAUACAGGCUUCUCAGAUUGGGUAAACGUGCUUCUAUUCAAAGUUGUACGGUCAAGAGAAGAAUUCUUGGUUUAAGAAAAAUUGGAUUUUACAUCCCUUCAUUU